rnacentral:lncRNA from 1 species
CGACACGAUUGCCAGGCCUACGUAGUAGGAAUGACUCGCAUCUUAUGGCUUUUUUCCGAUACUCACACUCCUACCUUGAUUACCAGGACUACAUCAUAGGGAUGUAGGUCGACACUCAGAUAACCAGUACCCGAGGCACGGGAAAAUUUAUGCCUAAUACGUUUAGGAUGGAAAUGUACAGGGUUAACCAUCGUCUCUCAUUACUUUGUGUUCCUUUCCGUGUAGGAAAACCAUGUCACCGAAGAAGCGUAACCAGUCCUCAAACAAGAAAUCCACUCUCUUAUUCGAUGAAGCUACGUUCCAAGCUGCAGUCUUAGCAGCCGUAGCAGCUGUCAUGGCUCACCUGAAUGCUAACACUGCCAGUGUUAGCAAGGGCCCGGUCGGGAUUUCCAAUCCUGGCAAUGGACAGCAGCAACCAACACUUCCAUACUCAGCCACCCAAGAACCUCACUCAAACCCACAAAAGAGAAAACUCAAGAUAGAGGUGGGAAGUACCUCGGCUCAAGGACCUUCCGAUGGGCAACGAGCUGAGGCAGUCUAUACCCCUGUCAAUCCUUCCCUCCCGACAUCAAGAAGGCCAUACCUAGGAGACCUUCCCCACUGCAGCAAGUGCAGCUACCAUCAUCAUGGUGUCUGCCGGGAGCUCUAUUGUGCUAGGUGCCACAUGUUGGGGCAUACUGCUCGUGUCUGCAGAACCCCGGUUGAGUUCAUUACAUCAACCACCAAUGUGGCGACCCGCAUAGUUUUCCGUCUAUGUGGUGCGAUUGGACACUUCGAAAGGGAUUGCCCAGCUAAAGGAAACAAUAAAGACACAGAAGGAGCCUGACACUACUGCUUAGGGAGAAGCGGCAAGGAACUCGUUAGAUUUUGGUACGUCUCUCGAUCUCGGAUAACUAAAAUAAGAACAAUAAAAGAUUAAUUCAACAUGUAAAUUCUUCCCAGUAAGGCGAAAGUCGCAGCACUGUUAUAAGAUUUAAUAAUUCAUCAGGUAAAACUAUAAUGGCUAAACAUAUAUGUUGCGACCAUGUAUAUUUAAGAUGGACAGACCUAGAGUGAGCGAAUGCCGCCUCAUUUCCUAUUCCUCGUUUGGUUGUGGAUUUAGGGCGGAGUCGCUCAGUCAACAGUCCUCCCCACCUUAAAUAUACAUGAUUAGUAUAUGUGAGGCGAUUAUAGAAAUGUCUGGUGAGAAUUCUUUCACGAAAAUGUACUCUAUUCGGAAACACUUAGAACUCUCUAUAGUUCCGCGUCGACUCUAUCGGUCCAAGUAUCCGCGGUAGUGAUGCGUAGGACGAAACCCAAGAUGCCUAGAACUUGUGUGCCUGUUCGGCACAUGACCCUAUCGAUCUUCAUUAUACGCCAUGUCGGAGUGUGCCAACUUCGACGACUCUAUCGAUCAUGGUUUGACUUCGUUCAACCAUGUGUUCAUCCUUAGUGCUGUGUAAACAGAACUUUCUCCGUAGCCAUGACAGCAAACAAAGGUUCUCCUGAAUCUAAACCUAACACAAAUAAUCAAACAUAAUGCAAUCCGUCAAUCGUCCCUCUUAUCUCAAACCUUCCGAAGUACCCAAGAGAGGGUACCCCGCACUGUUGACCGACCCCUCGUAGUCAGAUGGACACCGAAGUGAACGACACUACAGAUACUCUAAGAAGAUGACCACCAACCGAAGCAUACUCCAUAGAUUCCCCGGGAGACCCUUCGCACCUCGCACAUCAGGUUCGUGAACCCAGAGAAUAGAACUCAUGAGGCUGACCACUAUAACCAGGUAUACGCUGGCAUACUGAUGGGUUUUUAGCCAUAAGAUCAUUCCUAUGUGCGCAUGCAAAACCCUAAUGCUCGUAUCUAGGCUUUCUAAUUAAACAUGCUUUGAAUCCAAGACUUCUAAUAGCUAAUUAGGUUAAAUAACAACAUUGAAACAGAUCUAGAACCAUACCUUUGAAUUCCCUUUUGAUCUUGUUGUCUUGGAGCUUCUAGAGUCACAAUUGUCACUCCUCUAAUGGCUUACAAACACCAAAUAGCAAGGAGGAUGAUUUAGGAGAGAGGAGAGGGGAGGAAUUUUGGCUAGAGCUUCUCUACUUUUGGUGAAGUUCCGAAUUCCCUUANUUUAUACUUGUAGACUCCUUAAGGGUUACAACCUAAACCCUAUUGGAUAAUCUUCUCUUAAGGCUAUCCAAAUCCAUUCCUAGAUAACACCAUGGACGAUUUUAGCUAUCCUUUAGCUUCUAGAAUUCGUCCAUCAUAUAUCUAUAUGGAUUUACAGUCUAAAGUUUAACUAUCAAACAAUUGACAAUUUAUACCCUCUUAUUAAAUUAAUCUGUUUAAGUCACCAAAUUAAUUCUAAUUAAUUCUAUGACUUAUAUUAACAAUAUUAUUAUUAUUUAUAAUAAUAUUUACUCUUUCUUAAUAAAUCAUCCUAUCAAGUUGCUNNNNNNNNNNNNNNNNNNNNNNNNNNNNNNNNNNNNNNNNNNNNNNNNNNNNNNNNNNNNNNNNNNNNNNNNNNNNNNNNNNNNNNNNNNNNNNNNNNNNGAGUCCAAUGAUCAGACUCGGCGAGUAGCUUGAAGAUGUACUAGAACUCGCCGAGUUGUUCUUCAGACUCGGCGAGUAUCUUGAAGGUUCACUGGAACUCGUCGAGUUGUUCUUCAGACUCGGCGAGUAGCUUGAAGAUCUACUAGAACUCGUCGAGUCGUUCUUCAGACUCGGCGAGUAGUGUCAGGGUGCCUAUAACUCGUCGAGUCACCCUUUGUACUCGACGAGUCCGGUCGAGAUUGACCGUUGACUGUAUACAAGUUAGUAGGGUCAGUCGUACUGUGUGAUAAGUCAUUAAUAAAGGAUGUGGUAUUAUAGGGGACUUGCGGAGUAGCGGAUCGUGUGCGAGUAGCUCGAAGCGUUUAUAGAGUUCAUAUUACGAGGUGAGUCUUCUCACUAUACUUCACCCGGAAGGGUUUGAUUGCUAGACCGGAAGGUCGUAUAUGUUAUAUUCAUGAUAUGUUUAGAGAGGCAAAUGCUUUACGUGUGAAAUGUGCUUAUAUGUGAUGUAUGCUUAUACGGGCCGGAAGGCGAGACUUAAGGUGAUAGAAAGGUUGAUGUGAUGUAUGAUUAUGUGCUAUGUGUUUAUGUUAUAUGUGUUAUGUUUAUACUAUCACGGGCCGGAAGGCAAAGUACUAUGGGCCGGAAGGCAAUCUAUUAUGGGCCGGAAGGCAUUAUAUAUUAUGGGCCGGAAGGCGAUUAUAUUAUGGGCCGGAAGGCGAUUAUAUUACAGGCCGGAAGGCAAUGUUUGUGGACCAAAUGGUCCGGGCCGGAAGGCGUAUGUGGGUAAGUUGUAUACUGGGGAACUCACUAAGCAUUUAUGCUUAUCAGAUGUAUUUCAUGUUUCUUUUACAGGUACUAGUGAUGACCGUGGGAAGGCGCCGGCAUGACACGUACACACUGCCACUGCUGAAGAUCCUGGAGUUUUAUUAUUUAUGUUUUGAAAUGAUUUGAAAUAUACCCUUUUGUCGUAUAAAGAUGUUUUAUUUUUAAUGAAAAAAAUUUGUUUGAAAAUUUGAGCUGUUACAGAUAGCUCACAUGUGUGUCUAAAAAUUUUUAGAACUUACAACAAUAAGUAUCAAAUGUUUAGAUAUUUUCCAUUUCUCACAAUUCGAACUAAGAAGAGGGAUGUCGUAAUCAUAAUCGAAUUUGAGAAUGCAAUUAACACAACUGCUAUCUCUUGAAAAUCUACUUAGUGAAAGUGUUUCCUCACAAUCAUUUUCAUGAAGCGGGGAGAAACCUUAUGACACUUAGAUUUUUAUGGUGUAUGUGUUCCUAUCCAUGUGAAUUUAUCAAGACCAUAAUCACAAGACAAGGUUAGUGACAUAUCCAAACUCAUAUGGACUGAACUUGUUCAAUCUCAAUUUCUUGCCACUUGGCAACACAAUGGCCUGUCAUGAUUUCCAAGUUUCUUAGCAACUCACCCUUACUGAUUAAUGUACUUUUACUAGUCCAAAUGCUUUGCCUUAUGCAAACAAUUGAGAACUCAUAGAACUCACAUGUAUAGUCAACUUCAACUGGAAUGGAAACAGAAACAAGAAUAUGUCAACACGAUAGGUUAUAAGCCUCAAGUCGUGUGCUAGUGAUUAAUAAUAUGUUUACUCUUUAUUUGUUCUUGAAACUAUUCAAGAUCUUUAAGAAUCCCACUUACCUCUUGACAUAUAAGAUUCUCCUUGUCAAGAAACAUUACUUGACAAACAAAUAUUCAAUCAUUAGUGCAUUUUCUUAUCAAGAAAAACACUUCAAACAAUUAGUCUUAGUUGGUCUUUGUUUUAUCCAAAACAUCAAAACUUACCAAUUUCAAAUGUACAAGAGUAUAAAACAUUUUACUCUACAUUUGAUAAGUGUUAUAAAACCUUUCUUAAGAUUAUGUCACUCAAGGCUCGAUCUUGGAGAAUGUCUCUAAGACUCGAUUUUUUGGAACGAAGUAUGAUUUAUAUUUUUGAUUCAACCAUUUCAACAAUUCAUGAUUCCUUUUCUUAUCCAUACAAAUGCACUAAGAUGUCCUUAGAGAAUCAAUUGUGAUAUGGUUUCAUAAUCCCUAAGAUAAUCAUAAAACACUAUACUCAUCUCACUAGUUUUCAGAUUGGAGAAACUUUUAUCUUUCUGCCUAAUUUGAUUCUUCUUCUUCGUUCUGCUAUACAUUGAAAAAGUUUCAUUGAUUCAGAAUUACACUUAAUCUUGUAAGUAUAACCAUGUUUACUAAACUUUAAGUAAAUCAUAACGAAUAGCCUUUAUCAUUCUUUGUGGUGGACCUAACUAGUGCACAACUAAGUGUAUCUGAUGCCCUAGUCUUUCACUUGACUCACAUAUACAUCUGAAUAAGGAAUUAGUCUUAAUUUCCCAAAGACAAAAGUUCCCAUUCAUCAUACAAUACAAGUUGCAUGAUUCCAAGUUUCUAUCCAAUUGAAACUUGGGUGAUGAGAAUCUUUCCUUAUUUGGUAAAUCUUGACACUACCACAAACGAAAGAAUCAAAUCCAUUACUUAAGAAUAGAAACCCACAAACAUAAGUUUUCACAUACGCCAUUGAAAGGAUACAUAUAAAACAAGAUAAAAUCAAAAUUUUAUUUAUUUAUAAAAUUUGGAAAAACCUUUUCCUUACAAUGCAAUUACAAACGAAAACUAUGUUUCUAAACAUUUCCUAAGCAAUCUAUCACAACUCCUAGCAGCAGCUCAAAAAUAUGAUCAUCGAACCAUGCGAUCGAAAUCCAUCUCUUCGCGAUCAGACUCAGCUUACUCUUCCUUUAAGCUUCCUUUCUUUUCUUUGAUCCUACAAUAACAUCAAAAUGUCAUUACAUUACAUCAUGUAUUAACAAUCUCCAUAUAAGAACUUAAUAGAGUUAGAUAGUGAACUUGCCUGAAGCAGAGUCAAACUUUUUGAUUUUACCAUCCUUAUGAUCCUUCAGGUAGAUUCGGCAGCUUCGUAACGAAUUCCCCUUCUCUUGGCAAUAGAAACAUAUAGACUCUUUGGGAAUGGUACACGGGACUAUCUCAGACUUAGCCUUUCUCUUUACCAUUUGGUCAAAUGACUUGACCAUGGUCGAUCCCUUUCCAUUGGGAAGAGAAAUCUUUUCUGGACUUCCAAUGUUACCAUUGUUAAUGUCCAUGGAAUUUUGGGAAGUAGACCUUCCAAUCAAAUUUGUUUGACCAGUGCGACAAAACAUUGUUCAUUCAGCGGCAAUUAGCAAAUAGGUAAGAUCGAUGAGGGUCAUGUCGCGGUCUGUCAUAUAAUAGUCUUUAAUGAACUCACUAUAUGACUCAGAGAGUGACUGAAGAACCAAGUCAACCUCAAGGUUCCUUGAGACAUUGACUCCUAACAUUCCCAACCUGUCAAUGGGCGACUUCAUCUCCAAGACAUGUGCACACACAAAUCUUCCAUCUUGGUGUUUGCUUGCCAAUAGGUUUUGAGUGACCUUGAACUUUUCAAGUCUUUUAACUUGUGGGUUAGGGAGAAUUAUUGGAGGAGGUGGAGGAAGUAAAGUAUGAUUUCCAUUUCCACAAUUCAAAUGCAGAACAUAAUAUUUAUAGGAAAAGUGUUUUUCAAAAGAUUUGGGAAGACCAUAGUUGUUAGAACUAGACAUCUACAAGGGAUAAAUUCAAGUUAGUUGAUUUAAGUCCUUAAUAUAACACCCAAAAUGAAAUAUUAAGGAUACGACCCAACACAAUAUUCUACCAUUCAGAAGAGGGAUGUCGUAAUCCAAUUGCAAAAUAUUUGAAGGUAUGUAAAUGCCGAUUUACCAAUUUCCACCAUAAAAAAAGAAAAAGAAUAUUAGGUUUUAAAUGGAUUGAAAUUCCUAGAUAUUUUGAGAUUCACUGAACUUUUCAAUGGCAUGUUUAAUCUCGAUUAUGCCCUCUCACGUUUGUGACUGGGAUGCCGAAGAUCACAAACAAUGUGUAAAUAACCAUGCAAAUUAGCUUGGUACACUUAAUUUUACAACUCAUCCAAUCAAUGUGCCGGUUAACCACACACACUCCACUGAUCCAUGAUUAACAUCAAGCUACCCUUUGCCACAGAUUGUCAGUCCCAUAUUAGUGUGUCAGUUAUCCACACAGACUCGAUUAAUGACUUAACAAGGUGAAAAGUGCAAGUUCAUGGAAUAGCACUAUUUUCACAUUUUUCCUAAGUAACUAAGAUUGAGAAUUUAUAGGUGUUUAGUUACUUAGUAUGUUGAUUAUACUUUUAAUGGACGUUUGUGCCAUCUCCUACCCGUUCGGCUAACGACCCUCCACCGGUCAAGGAAGUGGUGGGUGAGAGUGGACACCCAUUAAACCACCAUUUUAUAGGCAGUAACCUUAUACCACCCCUAUAGACCGGCUUCGUGAAUGAGGCCUACUAAAGGUAAGACUUACCUUUAACUUAUACAUAUUUAAUAUAUUAGACUUUUAAUUUUAUAUAGUAUAAGGGUGUAUUUUAAACUUUUAAAAUACUUGAUGGUUUAACCUAUUAAUAAAUUAUACUCUUAAUUUACUUAAACCAUAUGAUUAUGGAUUUAAUAAUACUCUUUUAAUUAAACAUUUAAUCUCUAUUAAUAAAGUCCAAAAGGGUUUAAUUUUAAACUUUUAAAACUCUAGGGUUUGGAAUUAAAGUUUCAUUAAUGUAACUUUUCAAGUUCCAAAACUUGAGGGCCAGUUUUGUAACUUGUCUUGACUUUUGAAAUUCAUAACUUAUGAACUUUUAUGUUGCAUGAAUGAGACCUUUCCAAUUCCAAACUUGUGUACAGGUUAUGAAACCUUCCAAAACUCUUAGAAUUCAAUAACUUACAUUAGUUAACAGUUUUAUAAAUAAGGACUUUUCAUAUUCCAUAACUUGAGGACAAGUUAUGGAACUUUUUUAAGAAAACAUAUGGAUCAAAUUAACUAGUCCAAUUAUGAUAUGAGAUCAUUUACCAAUUUGACCUAAUUUGAUUCAUAGUACAUGAUAACUUCAAAUUUUACAAAGAACUAGUAUAUCACAAAAAAAAAACAAGUAGUUAUAUUAGAAUUUGAUAAAAAUCAUGUUNUUAUCGAAGAUUCAUUAGAGACUUCUCCAAGAUCGCGGUGCCACUCACCAAAUUGACCCGAAAGGGUGUUACAUUCUUGUGGGGACCCGAGCAGCAGACUUCCUUCGAGACACUUCGUCAGAGACNGAACUAGUAUAUCACAAAAAAAAAACAAGUAGUUAUAUUAGAAUUUGAUAAAAAUCAUGUUAUUGGAUGGGGAUUAGCAUUACCAUAUCAUUUAAAUUGAAUUUUAUGAACCAAAACAGUUUGUGGUAAUGUUCCUAAUCCAAAUCAGGCCAAAAACUCGAAAAUUUUGCUCACAGAGAGUCCAAAUCGUCAAGUGCACUUAUGAAUUCGACGAGUUCAUCAUCAUAAGGCACCUACUCGUCGAUUUCAUAUAUGGACUCGUCGAGUAGACCCUGGCAGAAUCCAAUUUUGCAGUUUUUUAGCUUUGAAAAUUUCACAGUUGCAUCAAUACAAUAGAAAACAUCCUAGGCUCUGAUACCAUUGACGAGUUUUAUGUACUCUAACAUUCCUAUGGUGCACAUACAACCUUAAGGCUUUAGAUCUAAGUUUUCUCUAAUUAUACAUGCAAUAAACAUUUUCCAAAGCAUGAAGCCUAAACUUGCAUGCAAGGUGAUAUCUGAAUCAUAAAAACUAGUUAGAAUAUUACCUUGUGUAGUAGCGUGAAUAACAUGGCCUCAAGAAAGCUUAGCACCCCAAGUGUGAUGCCUCUAAUGGAAUCACAAAACACUAAGAACAAUUGGGAUGGAUAUGGAAGAGAUUUAGGAGACUAGAAAUCGGAUUCUACUUCUUGAAAAUGCAAGGUGUAACCGAUUUCAAGCUUAUAUAUACAUACAUACAUACAUAUAUAUAUAUAUGUNNNAUAUAUAUAUAUAUAUAUAUAUAUAUAUAUAUAUAUAUGUGUGUGUGUGUGUGUGUGUAUGUGUGUGUGUAGAAUAUCAAGGGUCAUGUUUAACCCUAAUCCAUACACAUUAGCCCAUGACCCAUCUAUUUGAUUUGGACAAAUACUUCAUGAAUUAACUCAUAUGCCCAUCACAAAUCAAAACAUGGAUCUUUAGCCCAACUCAUAUGUAUCAUUUUAAUUAGUUUCUUUUGAUCACUAAAUUAAUUCUUGAUCAAUACUAAUUAAAUAAUAUGAUUCCUCAAUUAGUAUAUUAUACUUAUAAUAUAUUAAUAAAUCAUAAAUAAUCACUUACUCAAAUAUCCUUCCUAACAUAUUGCUUUGAUGAAUGCAACCCAAAUGGACCAUGCUACUAUCGGGUCAAGUAGAUACCAAUUAUGGUUAUGGGCAUACACACCUUUUCUAACACUCAUAUGCCAAGAGGACAGUGGGAGGAAAAUUGAGCUUGAAGAGCUUCAAGAGUUAAGUGAUGAAAGAACCUCAAACACUGGCGCUCAACCUGAGGAGGAAACUCCUGUUGAACCAAUUGACGAGUCUGUACCUCUGAGAUGUUCCAGUAGAGUUAGUGUUCCACCUGUGUUAUAUGGUUUUCAUAUAACAACUGAAGGUGACACAUUUAUCAGUGAUAGUACAUUGAUAAAUCUAGAUGAACCUAACAACUACAAGGAAGCCAUGGCAAGCCCCGAGUCUACUAAAUGGAAAGAGGCAAUGAACAGUGAGAUUCAGUCCAUGUAUGACAAUCAAGUUUGGAACUAGGUUGACAAUGUACCAGGUCGCAAGACAGUCGGGUGCAAAUGGAUCUUCAAGAAGAAGACCGACAUGGAUGGGAAAGUACACACAUAUAAGGUGCGACUGGUAGUGAAGGGCUUCACUCAAACUCAGGGAGUUGACUAUGAUGGGACCUUCUCACCAGUAGUAAAGAUUAAAUCUAUAAGGGUUAUGUUAGCCAUAGUUGCAUUUCAUGACUAUGAAAUAUGGCAAAUGGAUAUCAAAUCGCUUUUCUUAAUGGAAAGUUGGAUGAAGAUGUUUACAUGUGUCAGCCAGAGGAUUUUUUCAAUGCAAAGUACCCUAAUAGAGUGUGUAAGCUUGAGAAAUCCAUCUAUGGAUUGAAACAAUCAUCUCACAGAUGGAAUCUUUGUUUUGAUGAGAAAGUCAAAGAGUUUGGAUUUUCAAGAAGCGAGGAUGAGUCAUGUGUAUAUGUCAAAGCUAGUGGGAGUAUAGUUAGCUUUCUGGUGCUAUAUGUAGAUGACAUACUUCUCAUAGGAAACGACAUUUCAACCUUGCUGGAAAUUAAGUCAUGGCUUGGGAAGUGUUUCGCUAUGAAGGACCUUAGAGAAGCUGAGACUGAGAUACCAGAGAUGAGUCGAAUACCAUAUGCUUCUGUAGUUGGAUCGGUCAUGUAUGCUGUGACUUGUACUCGUCUUGAUGUGGCCUUUGCUUUCUGCAUGGUCAACAGAUAUCAAGGGAAUCCUGGUAAAGCUCACUGGAAUGCAGUAAAGAACAUUCUUAAGUACCAAUGGAGGACUAAGGAUUGGGUCCUUACCCUCGGUGGGAGUGAUGACUUGAAAGUGAUGGGGUAUUGUGAUGCCAGUUUUCAGACCAACAAAGAUAAUUUGCGCUCUCAGUCGGGCUGGGUGUUUACCCUAAAUGGAGGAGCAAUAACAUGGAAAAGUACCAAGCAAGAGAUUAUAGUUGAUUCAACGUGUGAAUCAUAGUACAUAGCAGCGAGCGAAGCUUCGAAAGAGGUGAUAUGUCGUACCAUCCAUAAAGGAGCCUGUGGAGAUUUUCUGCGAUAAUGAAGGGGCGGUUGCCUUAACCAAGGAACCGAGAGAUUAUGGUAGAUCCAAGCAUAUCGACAGAAAAUACCACUUCAUAAGACAUCAAGUAGAAGAAGGACACCUCGUUGUGGAUAUCGUCAGAGGACAACCCAGCAGAUCCCCUUACGAAGGGACUGAGUAGGGUUAAGCACUUGCAGCAUGCAAGGGGCAUUGGGCUAACGAACGAUAUUAGUUUUAGUGAUUACAUAAAUAUUUAGGAACUUGUGAUAGCUAAACUUUAAUUGACAUUUGAUCAUUGAAUAAAGGAGUUUUAUUUAUAAGUAAAGUUACUAUCUUGUGGUAAUUAUUUACUAUUGUUUCACUUUUGCAUGUUUUGACUUCCAGAAUAAUAAGAUUAUUCAAACUAUCCACAGUCGAUCAUACUUUGGAAGUAGGUUAUGAGAUUAUACUGUCAUGAAUUGGCUUGUAGAUUGUAUAAGGUGUUAGACAUAGCAAAAGUAUGCUACAACAUUCAUGAGUGCUCUUAAAAUAAGAUUUGAGUAUUGGAUUAAACCCACCCUCACAUGAAUCACUUCAUGGAAUUUAUCAUGAGUGAUUGUGAGACGAUAAUAUCAUAUAGUCUUCAAACCAAGAUAUAUGAGUUGUUGACUAUGAGUUGGUUGUGCAUUUAUGAUAUGAAAACGCAUCAGUAACUUGAUGUUGAAAAACGUAUCAUUGUGCAUGAUUUAAUGAGUAGUUAGUACAAGCAUAUAAGUCGAAGUUUAUCUGUUACUUUUAUCCUAUGAGGAUUAAAAGCGAUAUCUUGAGCCCCUCGAUAAUUUUGUUUUGACUUAUGUGUCGGUCCCGGUCAUAACUAAAUUGAUGUGUUCAAUUAUGUUCUAUGUCAGACAAAUCGGAAAUCGGGAAACAAAUUGUAGGACAAUAUGUAUGACUAUGUUCCAUGUAUUUGUCCGCAUGAUAUCUUGAAAAAAGAGGAAUAUAUGAUUCCUUAUCUAAAGGACGCAUCACUGGCUAGGUCAGAGUUUGACAACGGCAUUUGAAAGCUGCGAUUGCUAAUCGGAUUUUAAAGUUACAUUGGUAUUUAUAGUUAUUAGACUUAUCCAAGAGGGAGACUGUCGGAUUAGGGGUCUAAGCCCAUAACUAUAACUAGUAUGUACUUGACCCGAUAGUAGCAUGGUCCUUUUGGGUUGCCUUCACCAGAGCAAUUUGAUAGGAUGGACUUUUGAGAAAAAGGUAAUUUGUGAUUUGUUAAUAUAUUAUAAGUAUAAUAUAUUAAUUGAGAAAUCAUAUUAUUUAAUUAGUAUUGAUCAAGAAUUAAUUUGGAAUUAAUUUAGUGAUCAAAAGAGACUGAUUAAAUAUGCGGGGACAAAUUAAGUAAAUCAAUGAUUCUUAUAGUGUAGGCCAAUGAUCCAUGGUUGAUUAGGAUGGGCUAAACCAAUAUUAUAGUCCACAGAGGUUUAACCCAUGGAGCCUAAGAAAUAUGAAGGGUCAUGGUGCAUUAGGUUUUGCAUGGAUGAAACCCUAGAUUUUGUCAAACUAUAAAAGCACCCCUAGCCCUAAAAUCAGUUUCCCAUUCAUUCUAAGAGAGUGAUAACUGAUUUUGAGCUAACUAGCCUUCUCUCUCAAGCCUCCUAUUGCAUUUGGUGUUUGUGACACAUUAGAGGCAUCACACUAAAGGUGCUUAAGCCUUCUAAGGCCAAGAACUACAAACUACAUCAAAAGGUAUUCAUCUAAGUUGGUUUUUAUGUUGUAUAUCCUCUAUUUUUUGCCAGUUAGGAUGUAUGCUUUGGAAAAUUGAAAUUGCAUGUAUAAUUAGAUAAAACUUAGAUUCAAAGCAUCUAAGGUUGCAUGUGCACCAUAGGAGUGUUAUAGUGCUUAAAACCCAACAAUUUCAACCGGUUACGGAGUCUAUUUCACCCCUACCACUACCACAUAAUAUCGUAUCAUAAACAUACUGUCAGGCAUAUAUGGGUGCCCGACCUACCCUCCAGUUUAUUUCAACCGAUUACAGGGUCUAUUUCACCCUUACCACUACCACAUAAUAUCAUAUCAUAAACAUACUAUCAAGCAUAUAUGGGUGCCUGACCUACCCUCCAGUUUAUUUCAACCGGUUAUGGGGCCUACUUCACCCCUCCUACUACUACCACAUAAUAACAUAGUAUACAAGCACAUAAAUCUCUACAGAUAGUGGCAUGACAAACAAUUAUCACAGAUACAAUCAUCUCUACUAUAAACAACUACUAGUGGGCCUGCAUUGGUGCCUUCGAACCACUCAUACAGGAAAGGUAACUCACCUCCCACUGUUAGAGUUCACAGCAAGAAUCCUUAGCUGUUGCCCUGACAACUGCUCGAACUAUCAAUACCAAAAUAUCACCCAAUUAGCAAUUAGGUCCCAAACCAUGAUCCAUAAUCCAUAUUUGGGUUAAAAUGACCAUUUUACCCCUGGCCCAACAAGAUUCAUAACUAAGGCUCAAACCCAAACAAAACAAGCCCAAAGCUCCAAAAUCCAUAAAAGCCCACUAAUGGACCAAUUUUCCAAAUUGAGCUCAACUCCUCAAAUGGGCCUUCCCUUUUAGUUCAACAUAUUCUUAGCCUAAAAUAUCUACUUUCUGAUGGCCGAAAAGGCCCAAAGAAGCGAAGUCCAAUGAAUGGCCAAAAUCGAGACCCACUUGUGCGAAACCCACUCUGACUGGGUACGCAGGGCGUACUAAGCUUUACAUAGCGCGUACUGGGUUUGUGACGUGUAAGUUGCGCAUACCAGCUUGUACGCCCAUCGUACUCCUCUGUUAAGGCCUGUUUGAUAUUAAGCACUUAAUGCUUCAAACCAAGGGACCAAAUCACAAAUUUGAGCCCUACUUAACGUCUAAACCCAUAAAAUCACUGACUUGGUGACUUUGCAUACCCCACGUAAGCCCAAACUCCAAAAAUGGCAUUCUACUUCCUUGAAAGUGACUUUAACUCAUGCAUAAACUCUUCAAGGCCUUCAAGGUGGCAAAUUUCUAUCUUAGGGACUCAAAUAGCACCAAGGGUGGCAACCCUAAGCCUAGGAAACAGAUUUGAACCAUAAAGCUUCAUCCUUGGGACCAAAAAGGUCCAAAAACCCCACACAAGAGAUCUAAGGAAACAACCACCAAGUUUAAGACUUUAUACCUCAAAUGAGAGUCAAAAGUUGAUGAGGUUCUGGAUCUAAAAACCCUAUCUUCUUCAAUAAAUCUUCAAGAGUGAACACCAUCUUCAAAAGCACCAAAAUACUCUUCUAAUGUCCUUCUAAGCUCCAAGAACACACAAGGAAGGAUUAGGGUUUCGUGAAAACUAUCUAAGGGUGAGAGAGUGGCCAAGCUUUAAGGCAUCAUGUUCCUUAUAUUGUGCCAAACCUUAAAAUCUAGGGGUUUGGUCUAAAGGGAGUAAGCCCCGCGUACCUCUUAGUACGCUUGGCGUACUCACAAACCACCCAUGACUAAUUGACCUUAUACGUUGGGUGUACCCCUGCUUACGUUGGGCGUUCCCAUCCAGGCAUGUGCAUGCGUCCAUUAGGGGCUAAUUCUGCCAAAUAGGGGUGUUUGUUUGGAUGGAUUGGUUUGAUCCGAUCCAAUCAAGUGAAUCCAAUUUGAUUUCGGUUUUCAAAACAUGGAACCGAAUCGUCCAAACUAAAUUAAAAUCUGAUCCGAUCUGAUCCAAUUACAAUUCAGUUGGAUUGGUUUUUAUAAUUCAGUUUUCAAAAACCGAAACAUUUUAAAACCAAAUAUAAUUAUAAUAUUACCCAACUUUACACAAGAAGCAAAAACAAAUUAUUUAGUUGUGAUUUGAAAUUUAUAAACAACUAAUAAGAAGAUAUAUUAUAGUUAAAUAUUUUAUAGAUAAAAAACUUUUGAGAGAAAAUGCAUAUUAAUGUUUUUUUAUUGGGUGAAACGUUUUGAACCUAUUUGAAAAAAUUAAUUACAAAAAUUAUAAAUAACUAUUGAUAUAUAUUAUAAAUAGAUAAAUAAUAAAUGUUUAUUCGGUUUUUAUUUUAUAAACCCAAACCAAUCCAAAAUCCAAAAUAAUAGUUCGGUUUUGUUGAAAACCAAUCCAAAAGUCCGAAUAUAUGAACCAAAUAGUCCAAUCCAAAUUGUCCAAUUGGAUAAUUCGGUUUUAUCCGAAUAGUGAACAGUCCUACUGCCAAAACCUUCAAAGUGCCAUAACUUCCUCAUCCAAUGUCCGUUUCCAUCGAACCUUAUAUCCAUGAAAAGGUGGCGAGAAGCCCUACGCUCCUAAUAAUUAACCAAGCCUUAAAACCUUCCGAAUUAAACCCAAUACCCAUAAAAGACUGAGUCAUUAGGUUACAAUUAUACCAUUGUCCUCCGAAGACACAAUCAAAUACAUAGACCACUUAUACCAUGACACCCACAUCCGAACUAUGACAAAUCCUUCCUCUCCAAGGCCCUAAGCCUUAUGACAACUGAUGAUUGGGCCGCAGCCCCAAGCAACGGAACACUUUCAAAACCGGGUAUUACAUUUGUUAUUCAUAUAUGAAUAAGUAGUUCAAAAUAUCAAUACAUAUCGUCUUUUAUUAACAUAGUACUUAUUCAUAUUUGAAUAACAAAUGAACUAUAAUAAAAAUCUGAUAAAUUUUUUAUUUAUAUAUGAAUAUAACAUAUGACAACCAUUAAUACACAUUUUAUUCAUAUAUAAAUAUAAAUUGUGAUGAAAGAUGAUGUAAAAAAAUAUAUUUUAGGUAAAAAAGUUUUAUUACGUGUUAUAUUUAUAUAUAAAUGAUACUUAAACUGUAAAAAAGUUAAGCAUACAUUUUAUUCAUAAAUGAAUAACGAAUGUAUUGUAAUAAACAUCUGAUCAGUUUUUAUUUAAUUAUUAAUAAAAGGAGCUUAAAUCUAAAAAAAUAUAUAUAUUUUUUAUCUUAAAGCUAUAUCAAUAUGGAUGUCUAUUUAUAGAGAAUAAAAAAUUAUGAAUUUUGAUAUAUUUAAAAUAUAUAUUUUUUUUAUAAAAAUAACUUUCUAAAAAUUAAAAAAAAAAAACAAAACAAAAAAAUAUGGUUUUUUUUUUGUAUAUUAAGAUAACGAUUAGCACAAUUUAAGGAAACAUAUUUGGUUGGAAAACACAUGUGUAUCCAUUAUCUAUUUUUGUCGUCUAAGUGUUUUGCAAAACAAGUGUGUGGUUGAGCUUAAUUUUCUUAUUCUCAAUCUUUUUUUUUCUCAGUUAAANNNNNNNNNNNNNNNNNNNNNNNNNNUAUAUAUAUACACAUACACACACAUAGAAAUCGAUAUUAAAAAAAAUCACCAGUAUUAAAAAACAACUAUGAAUUUUUGUUACCAAAUUCCUAAGAAAAAUUUACAUAGACGUAGCGGGUAAACGAACAAGUUGACCCGCAACCCCUUUUUGGAUUGCAAAACUAAACUUUUUGGAUGAACUUGUGUUUUAUGUGUUUUGAAUGUACUAUUACUAGCUUUGUAAGCCUUUACUUAUUUAAAUUUUUUGUACAAGAUUUUAAACUUUAUAGAUCUUUAAAAAAAAAAAAAAAAAACUCUUUGUACAAAGAUUUUAUAGAUCAUUUAAAAAGAGUUAUAUUUGAUUACUUUUUUAUAACUUUUAAAACUUUUUUACAUACUUUUUUAGUUUUUUAUAACGUUUUUAAAUACUUUUACUAUGAAACAUUUUUUCAUAACAAGUAUUAUUGUGUAAGAAUAAUCAGAAAUUAGUGAAAAAAAAUGAUUGUUUAUUUUGAGGAAGUUCCGUAGCCAUAAUAAUUGUCAAAAUUAAAGUCUGUAUGAAAAAAUUAUGAUCGUUUGGAAAGUAUCUUGCUAUUUAUGAAGAUUUACGACACAACUUUUAUGUCGAACUGAGCAGAAGCUGGGUAUAAAUAAUUUCUUUGUGAGCAUCGUUGUGGUUUUUUGACACUUUCUCGGGAGAAGCUCUGGAUGUGUUCUCGGGGCCUUACGACCGAAAGAAUUUACUAGCAUACGGGCGUAUGGGGUUGAGUUACGAAAUGAAUCAAGGUAUAGAUAAGAGGCAACCCGAAAGGUAGCGGAGGUCAGAGACCAAAAGUGGAAGUAAUCCACCAAUUAACCAAGUGAGUAGCACUAGUCUGACACCCGAUGUUUAUUAAUGGGUGUUGUUAUAUACAAUAUAACAAUUUAAUAUAUUAUGAUAUCGUUAUAUUAUGAACAUCGCGUACUUACUUUGGACAGAAGAUUCCAAGGGGGUGAUUAUGAUAGAAGAUUCCAAGGGGGUGAUUAUGAUAGUAAUAAGUCAUUGGUUAGUCUUGACACCGUUGCCAAGUGAGAUGAUACUAGUCGGUCUCUUGAGGAGUCAAGAAAUAAUAGCUAAUUAGUAUAAUUUAAUUAACAUGUUAAAUGUGACGUAUAAAUGUGAUGAUAAGUUAAAUUUGUAAAUUAUACUAUGUUUGUUAUGUUAUUGUAGGUUUUGUUUUAGUGUGCUAGUGUACACCAAAUUUUUUUAUUCGAUUGUAAAUAAAAGAAAUUUUAUUCGGGGUGUACCUUGUAUGAAAACGUGGGUGUUACAAGUUAUUAUCAGAGUCCGUGGUGUAAGUGAAUUAUGUGUCAUGUUGUAGAUUCCUAAUCUUAAACCGGAAGUAGAAUGAUAUAAAUUGACUAUACUUGCCGGACAUAAGUCACUCAACGAUUAGAUAUUUUAGGAAAUUUGGUGAUACGAAUAUAUANNNNNNNNNNNNNNNNNNNNNNNNNNNNNNNNNNNNNNNNNNNNNNNNNNNNNNNNNNNNNNNNNNNNNNNNNNNUGUUGCGAAACACGUUGCGGUGAAGAUUACGGUGCACAUUACGAUGUAUGUUUUAGAGUGGAGAAAUUCAAGGAAGUUGUACCGAUAUUUUAUAUCAGUAAGAAUUUCGGAAGAAAUUAGGACUUAUAGUAGUUUUUGAACCCGGCGAAUAGUGAAGAUGUUUUAAAGUUUAGAUUGCGUUUGUAUCUAAUUCCCGACGCGAAACUUAGAGAUACGCGGCACGAGAAAAGCAAGUAAAACCACGACACGAACAAUAUAUAUUCAUGUCGUGAUCAUGAAGUAUGAUGUCAUAAUCGAAUGUGGAGUUCACAACAUAAUUUGGGCCUAUACGCGACACAAUUAUGAACUACGAUGUGAAAACUUGUUGUUUAUGACUGUGACAUUGACAAGAGAUGGCAGUGUUGUGAGAUUUAUAUUGGGAGGUAUUGUUGUGUGUGAUGUAUAUAAGAGUAGUGCAUGAUGCAAGGAGUAAAAUAUGUCGAGUUAGGUUACUAUCGAUCAAUGAAAUUUAAUUAAAUAUUAAUACCGAACUGUACAAGUUAGCUAUUUGAUAUUAAGAUGAAUUGGUGUAAAAGAUAGUUGUGUUGAAUGACUAGAACUUAAUAGACAUCGGAGUCUAAUAGUUGGAACUAAAGGAAGUUGAUGGAUGCUUACAAUAUCUAAUGUAAGUGGCAAUGGAUAUUUAUUUAUGAUUAAAAGUUAUUAAGAUAGACAAAAAAGUAGAUUGUCUUUGUGGUAAGUUGUAAGUUCGAUUAGGAGUUGGACCUUUGAAAGCUUUGAAAGUCAUGUUACUAUUUACUUAGUUGUAUAAAUAAAUUGUGAAAUGUGUUUUAUGAAAGAUGCUUGAAAGAACUCUUGGUGUCAAAAAAGAAAUAAAUAAUGGUUUACGAGCGUGUUUACAAAAUUCACGAGCUUAAUCAUAUCUUUCGACAAUGUAUGGCUCGUGGAAAUAUGAAGGUUUACUGUUAUACAAAAUACCUACUCUUGUAAACGCUAAAAAUAGUGUCCAAUGUUAUUAACUGUUUUGGUAAUAUUUCUUAAUAUAGUAGAGUCUUUUUAGGUUGGCCUCAAGACCCAAAUAGAAUAAGGAAAUGGAGCUAAAUAAGUUUUUAAUUUAUUAUGGAAUUAAUUAAUCAAUUAUAAAUUAUUUUUGUAACUAACUAAAAAGUUUUAAUUAAAUAAAGGGAUUGAAUAUUAAUUAGAGAGCCCAUAGGAGACUCUUAACAGUCCCUUUAUCAAAAGAAGUUGUUUCUAUCUUAGGAAUGUUGCAUUUCGUAGUGUAUGUGGAUUUAUAAGAAGAACAGUUAGAUUCUGAGGGAAUUAUAGUCGAGCUGGAGCCAGAUGUGUUACAUGUAGUAACAGUUAAUGGUCUCUUAAGGAUUUUGAUAGGAGCAAAAGAAUUGUGAUUUCCAGUGGAGACAGUUGGCUGAACUACACAUGAUUUUCCUAGCACAUUAUCCUUUGAUAAGGCCUUUCUAGCUUUUUCUCUCCGAUGGAAAAUGUCUAUUCCGUUCAACCAAGGUUUCUUAUUAGAGACAUUUUUCUUUUGAGCAAAUGAGUUUUUUGAUGUUUGUCUGUUUGAUGGAUUAUUAAAGCAUGGUUUAAUUGGAACAGUACUAGACUUUGGAUUAGAUUUUAGAACCUUGGGGACAAAUGAAACAUUUGGUUCACUAUUGAUGAUGAUUUCCUCAUCACAUUCAUUAUCAAUGGUUUAUGGUUAUUCACUUACGGAUGUCGGUUGUACUUCAUGGUUACCAGUGUGAAAUCUUGUUGAAAUGUGAGGUCAUUAGCUAUAGCAUAAGAAUCAAAGUUAUCUUCUAGGAAGCGAACCGAAGGAUUUGGGAUAUAAGAAUCCGAAGGGGGAUUGUUUGAGGGGACAAACUAGUGGAUCUGACAAGCACAAGAUGUCCACCGGAGAUUUCUCUUAGAUUCUGAGCAAAAUUUGACUCAUGGCCUUGAAGCUCAUCAAAAAGUUAAAAUAGGAUCAACUUUUCAAAAGAUCCUUUGCUUUGAAGAUAAGAGUUUACAUGGUCCUGGCCUUUACUAAGGCUGUUGAUGAACCUGAGGUUGUGUUCAAUCGAAAUUCUAGUUAAACCAUGAGUAGUGAAGUUGUUCACCAAGAUUUUGUAAUGAUUUGUUGUAGAUGUCACUGAUUCUCCAGGGAUGGUGGAGAAAGUGGGAUAGUCAUUAACUAUAAAGGUUAACCUUUUGUAUAUCCCAUCUUUUUUACAGAUUUACAAAGCUUGAUAUGCUCAAAAAGAGAUGGAGGAACACCAAAAACCAUUUCAAAAAAGGCAAUGUCAUCGACAUAUAUUUUCUCCUCAUCCAAGCUAGGUGGAGCAGGAAGUCAUGGGAUAACCCACACUAUUUUAGUAUAUCCCAUAUCUCUUUUAAAACCUUUCCAUUCUCAUUUUCCAAAGGUCCUAUUGUUCUACAAUCAACAAAGAGGCUCUCAUGGGGUAACCCACACUAUUUGUAAUUUACGUAGAAUACAUUGGUCGGUUAGGAUUAUGAGCAACCAUUGUUGUGUUAUUUUUAGCAUAGUGGUAUAUAUGAAGAACUUUUAUCAUGUUACAUACAUAGAUGAAAAAGGAACAAAUGUAAUCUAUAACAAUGAUAAUUUGAUCAAUAUGGAUUCAAAGCACAACCACUAUGGCUCUCAUAUCAAUUGAUAAGAAUUAUAUAUCCCAGAUAUAAUUUGGACAAGGUAUAAUAAAUUAUAACUUGAGUAAACAACAACAAUAAAGGAACUUAAUAUUUUCUAGUCAAGUUUGUAGUAAAUCCAGUCAAGCCUUGAAUGAUAAACCAAAUUUUAUUCAAUACAUGAUCAGAUAAAAUAAGAAUAAGAGUUAGAAAAGUAAGUGCAAGAACAAUGAGAAUAUUUUUGACAAGAUGUUAAAUUACUUUUCAUUGAAGAAUGGUACAUGAAAAGGUGUCUAAAGGUGUAUGUAAACAUAGGAUUGACUUGCUCUUUUUAUAGAAAAAGACAAUGUACUAGGAAACAAAAGUAAUUAUAAUUGAAAGUAACUUGUCUAAUAGUGUAGUACACUAACACAAGAUUACAUCAAUUCUAUUUCCUAGCCUCAAAAGAACAAAUAAAACAAAACAAUACUUCUGAAAUGUCCCAGAUUUCAAAACAAAAUUUUCAUUUAAAAUUAAAAGCAUUUGAUCUAAUUACAACUUAAAAGAUGUAAAUAAAACCAUUUAGUGUGUGUGUGUAAACCCAUGAAUAUUUUUGAACCAUUCACACCUUAAUAUAUGUAUUAAAAAAAGAUAUAUGAAAGUGUUUGGUUUAACGCCUACAUAAUCACAUAAGAGGAAGUGUGUGUGUGUGUACGAAAUGGAAAUACAAGAAGGUUAUGAAGUAAAAGUAUAAACAAAGUGUAAUAUGCAUAUUAUUUGGAAAUAAUCUAUGUAAAGUUAUUAGUUUGGGGCGUAAGUGUUCAGAGAGGGAUUUCAACCUAACUACUUCAGUUGUUUGAUAUUUAUUUGGUGAUAGUUGGUUCACGGGUUAGAUCAAUGUGAGGGGUUAAGAAUGUAGCAGUGUUUCUACAAUUCUGCGUUUCAGGUGUGUCUUUUCACCAUGACAUGUAUCCCAUUGUAUAUCCUUUGUAUGUUAGGAUAGUGGUACUAUUAGAUUACAAGUAUGCUAUUUGACUAGGAUGACUCCUAGUUAUGCAUGUACAAUAUAGGAGACUUGGUGUCAUGGUAUGCUAUACUGGUAGGGUCUUGCAUGUUGAUUGUAUGAUUCCAUUAGGAGUUAUGUUUGGUAAGGGUAAAUAGGGAAGGCCAGUUAUUAGGAUUAUGUUUGUUUGACCAACGAAGGACUUAAUUCAAAAGUUGCCAAUGGUAGGGUAACUAGGGAAGGCUAGUUGCCUAGGGAAUGUAAUAUGCUACUUAUGUUAUCUAUUUAUGUUAUGUGAUUAUGUGGUUCUAUGUAGUUUAGGUUGGAUAGCCUGAGAACAAUUUUUCUAAAUCCCUGAUUGCGAUGUUCUUGUCUAAUUGUUUGCUUUUGGGUGGACCAUCUGUUCGACUGUCUAUCUGAUCUCUGAAUACAUAGGACUUAAUGUAUUGUAUGGAAUACCAUGAUCUAGCCCAUGACUCUUGCUUUUAAGACUAGGAUUUGGCCAUUAGCAUUGAAAGGAAAGACCAUGGGGUUAACCCAUGGCAAUUGUAUGAAAGAUCAUGAUGGUAGUCCAUGACACUUGCUUAGAAGACUAGGAUUUGGCUCAUGGCAUUGCAAGGAAAGACCAUAAGGGUACCCCAUGGAAGGAAGUGAUUGUAAGACUAUGAUUUGGCCCAUAUCAUUCGCUUGGGGUUGGAAAAGAUCUAUUAUUUUAUGUAUGAAUGUUGUGUAUGUAAUAUAUUGGUUGAUAAGAGAGUUGGUAGCACGGAUCUACAGCCGAUGAAUUUAAGUGGAUGCAAUGUAUGUAUGAUGGUAUAUUUGAUAUAUUGGGGAACUCACUCAAAAUUAUGCUUACAGUUGUGGAUAAAAUGUUUUGCACGUUGGUCAUGAUAAGAGCUCGACGGGACCAUACACAUGCAUGAAAGAUGUUCGUUUCGGUAGUUUUGUGAUUUAACUCUAAUAAUGUACGGUUUUAAUUAAAGGAAUAUUACUUAAUAGUUUUUGAGAUAAAGUUUUUAACUUAUUAAUUUAUUUUCUUAAAUGAUAAAUUUAUUCUGGAAUAUGGGGACGUUACAAGUUGGUAUCAGAGCAUUAGUUUGAGGGAUUUGGACGUGCCUUAUGGUGGAUCUGAACUCAAAUUAAGGACUGAGAGAUUUUCUAAAUGAUUUUUUGAAAAUAGAAUGCUUUUAUUCAAGAAAAUGCUUUUCUAAAAAGGUUUUAUAAUAUUUGGAGGAUGCGAUGUGUACAGUCAGUCAGAGUUCAAGAGUAAGUGAUUCCCAAUAUAUCCAUAUGAUUAUGUAUUUUUUAUAUGAAUUUCUUUGCAUGCUAGUUUGUAGAAUAGGGAUCGGUUCAAGAAUUGCAUGUCAGGAUUGUUUGAUGUGUAUGAGAUGCCUCGUAAGAUUAGUAUGUGCUUAUUGCAGUAAGUGUUCUGGAAUCUUUGUUUGGUAUUGUUGAUUUAUUUAAUAGCCUUAGAAUUUCUGUUUUAACCUUAUUAUUUGUUCCUUGUUUGGUUUUUAUUUAGGGUAGAGAUAACUAUUCAAACAUAUAUUUAAUUCUAUAUUAUAUACAACUACGCAUUUGUAAGGAAUUUUGUGUGCCUUAGUUGAGUCUCAUCCACCGCUUCCUUGAUUGGCGGAGGGUUAUCAGCCGAACAGGUAGGAUAAGACAUUAAUUCCUCAUUAAUAAUUAUAAUGAUAAAUAUGAAGUAACUAAAUGUUUUUAUAAAUUCCCAAUCUUAGAUACUUUAGGAAAAUGUGAAAAUGAUGUUAGUCCAUGAAAUUGCACUUUACACCUUGCCUAGUCGUUAGUGGAGCGUGUGUGGUUAAUCAUCACACUAACUUGGACUAACAAUGGUGGCAAAGGAUAGCUCGAGAAUUAUCAUAGAUCAAUGGAGCGUGUCUGAUUAAGCGGUACAUUGAUUAGGUGGUAAAUGAAAACGAGAGUACCAAGCUAAUUUGCAUGGUUAUUCACACCUUGUUUGUGAUCCUCGGUAUCCCAAUCACAAACUUGAAAGGGAUAUUCGAGAUUAAACAUGCCAUUGAAAAGUUCAAUGAAUCUCAAUAGAUUCUAGGAAUUUCAUUUCAUUUAAAACCUAAUUAUUCAUUUUGUUUUCAUGGUGGAAUUGGUAAAUCGUCAUUUACCUACAUUCAAAUAAUUUACAAUUGGAUUACGGCAUCCCUCUUCCGAAUUGUGAAUUAUUGUGUUAGGUCCUAGCCUUAAUAUUUCAUUUGGGUGUUAUAUUAAGGUUUCCUUAUCUAAUCAAAACUUUUUCCUUCUUCUUUUUUAGAUGUCUGGCGCAAACAAGGCUUCUGGCUCGAACUCCAACUCCUCAAGCUCCUUAUAUCUUAUGAACAUGUGUGCUAGGAUCACCUUCGAUGGAUCCAAUUUCAAUGAUUGGAUUCGCAACAUUCAAAUGGCCUUGCAAUACGAGGAGAAAGAAUACGUCCUCAAAAUGUAACACUCGUGAAAAUUUGCACCAAUUUAAAACAUUUUAACUCAUUCAAAAGCCAUUAAGCUAUUACAACUUGUUUUCAAAAGAGUUUAAACAUCAGAGUAUCCCCAGAACCAAAUCACAAAAUCAUGAAAUAUGAGGAGCGGUACGAUCACACCUUCGCCUUGCCGCGAUCUCCUGAAGUACCUGAAACCAAAACACUACAACUCUAAGCCUGAAAGCUUAGUGAGUUACCCCCAAAAUACCAACCACAUAUAACCAUACUCAUAUCAUAUCUCAAUACAGAACAACCAUGCAUAUCGAGCCUACAGUGUGACUGGUCCGCUCGCACCGAGCCCUCCGUCCACCUGGUCCACUCUCCGAGUCUAGCCAUGUAUAUUGAGUCUACAGUGUGAUUGGUCCGCCCGCACUGGGCCUUCAAUCCACCUAGUCCACUCUCUGAGUCUACAGUAUGACUGGUCCGUCCACACCGGGCCUUCAGUUGGUCUGGUCCACUCUCUGAGCCUCGACACGUCUAGACCGCCCUCUUGGGGCCUUCAGCCUAUCCGGAUCGCUCGUUGGGCCUACGGUAUAUCUGGCCCGCCCUGGGUAUGUUGGCCUACAACACAAAUCAGGACCCGCCUCAACCCAACCCCAAUCCAACAACCAUGUGCACAUAAAACAAUUAAUCACAUAAAAAUCCUCAGCCAAACAAACGGUUCAAUCAGAUCAUGCAGCAUAACAACAUCCUAACCAGGAUACCGACCUAACCGGUCUCUAACAUAACAUUACCCUACAUACUAGGACACCGAACUUAACCAGGUCACUACAUAACUUUACCCUACAAACUAGGAUACCGACCUUAACCAGGUCACAAACAUAACACCAUCCUAAAACCAGGAUGUAGAUCCAGCAACUCAAAAACAUAUCAUACAAAUACCCGGAUUCCCAUCCGAUAAAAGGGCCGGCCUUGGUGCCUUAGACCCUGUUGAUAUAGUGAGGAUAACUCACCUUGCAACUACCAAAUCGAAUCACAAAAACACAAACUUGAAGCACAGCCUCCAACUCCAACACCUAUAAUCAUCAAUGAUCCAAUGACAUAAAUAUCCAAAAUUACCAUAAUACCCCUGAAGGUCAAAUUGGUCAUAGUCAAAGUCCUCAGUCAAACUCAACCUUCCUGGUUGACUCUACUCGCCAAGUCAACCCACUAACUCGCUGAGUUCUAAAACUUAGAAACUCUCACAUCACGACUCGACUCGCCGAGUCACCCCAUGACUCGUCGAGUUCAACAAUCUCCAAGUCCUAUCCUGACCAACUCGUUGAAUCGCCACUCAACUCACUGCUCUGAGUCUAACCAUAAGAGGUUGGGGGUUUUGCAUUGUGACUCGCCGAUUCCAAGAACCGACUCGCCGAGUCCAUGACAAUCUUCAUCAGACUCUCCGAGUUGUUCUUCCACUCGUCGAGUCCAAGCUCAUCAUCAUAUGACUCGCCGAGUUCACCCAUGCGAAUCGCUGAGUCACUACGCGACUCAAUGCCUGAAGCCCUAGCCCAACUCGUCGAGUCAUCACCCAAACUCGCCGCGUUGAUACGGGUAUUCCCAUAAUCGAAAGAUACAGAACUACUCCUUUGCUCCAAACAAUAGAUAUGGGUCCCUAGAGUGCAUAGCAACAUAAAGUUGGUACAUUUACGUGCUUCAUGUCCCAUAAUUCUAAAAACCAAGCUAGAAAGGAACUUAACUCCUGGGUAAUGGCUUUUGCAUAGCAAUUAGAAGGGCUUUCUGCAUAUUUGAUCCAAAUAGAACUCAGAUCUGGAGUUUCAGCUCCAGAUCUAACUCACACACCAAGAUCUCAUCAUAUUAUCUCCAAACAAACCCUAAAACUCCAUGAAAGAUGGAUCUAGAAAGGAAAAGGCCAAGGAUAAUGAUUCAUUACCUCCAAAACGACCUCCCACUGAAGAAUAAGCUGAAUCUCCACAAAUCUCCUUGAUCCAAGCUCCUUGAUCUUCAAGAUCUCUUCACAAAAUCACUUAUCUAAGCUCCAAAUUGCCUCCAAGGACUCUUACUCACGAUUUUUAUGGUUUCUAGAUCUCAAAGGGUAGUAAGGGGCUGAGGGGAGGACAUUAAGUCCUUUAAAUAGGGUGCAAACCUUAAGAUUAGGGUUUUCCUCUUCCAGCACUGAUUCGUCGAGUCCAGCCGCCGACUCGGCGAGUCAAGCCACUUAUCACGUGCUCUUCACACGCUCCGACUCGACGAGUCAUAGCUCCAAAUCGUCGAGUCCAUCCUUCUAAUAACACUUUACACCCCUGAACUCUUUCUUCUGAACUUGGGGUGUUACAAAAAAAAAGAAAUCAAAGAGAUAGAUGAAAUCAACGCUACUCCUGAAGAAUUGGUUGAGUAUUGCGCUCAUGAAAAGGACGCGACAAAGGUGUCGGUAUUAUGGUGGCCACUAUGACUCCUGAGCUACAGCGGUUCUAUGAGGACUACUGGCCUUACGAGAUGUGCCAGGACUUGAUGGAAAAGUAUCAUUAACGUGCGCGUCAAGAAAGUUACGAGAUUUUUACCUCAUUUAUAACAACCAAAUGAGGGAUGGAGAGUCCAUCACGACCCACUUGCAAAAAAUGCAAAGGUAUGUAGAUCAUUUGCUCAAGUUGAAUGUCAACUUUGAUGAAUAUCUGGCUAUUGAUAUAGUCCUACACUCUUUACUUCCUUGCUAUGAUCAGUUCAAAAUGACAUAUCAUAUGAGCAAGGAGGAGAUCACCUUGAGCAAACUUCAAGGUUUGUUGAGAACCACUGAAAGUGGAUUGAAAGGCAAAAGUGUUGAGUCCACUCCUGCUGCUUCUGCCCAAGUCCUAGCUAUUGGACAUGGAAAAGGGAAAAAUAUGAAAUCUCCCUCUAAGAACCACAAGGGAAAGUCCCAUGAUGGAUCUUCUUCCAAUGGAUCCAAAGGUAAAACCGGUUCUGCCACUCCCUUAUCUGAUCCUAAAGAAACAACGUGCUUUUACUGUCAUGAGACAGGGCAUUGGAAACGAAGCUUCCCGAAAUACUUGCAGGACAUCAAAGAUGGGAGAUAAAGCCCUCAUUCAUAGGUAUUUAUACUAUUGUAUCUAAUAACUCAUCACAUGCUAGUUGUUGGGUCCUUGAUACAGGAUGUGGUUUUCACAUUUGUUCUUAUUUGUAUGGGAUAAAAAGAAGUAGGGAUGUGGAGCGUAGGAAGAUGAACUUGGUUAUGGGAAAUAGGAAGUCGUCUCCUAUUACCAAGAUCAGAGUUUACUCUUUAGUGCUUAAUAGUGGGUUAGGGUUAGAUUUGAAUGAAUGUUGCUACUCAUCAUAGAUAACGAAGAAUAUUAUUACUUUUCAUGGUUUGUACAGACAAGGUUUUAGAUUUUCAUUUAUUAAUGAAAUUGGUUCUAUUAAUGCCAAUUAUAAUGGUUUAUUUUAUUUUGAAGCAUUGCCUUGUAAUGGUGUAUGUGAAACUGUGAUGGUUGUAGAUAAAUUAGGAAAUAAUGUGUUACAUAUCAGUUCGUAUAAUGGUUUAGACAAGGCAUGCUUAUGGAAUUGUUGUCUUUUACAUGUCAACAAGAAGUGCAUAGCCCAACUCCAAAAGGAUGGAGUCUUGGAGUCAUUUGACCUAAAGUCAGAUUAUACGUGUGAAUCUUAUUUACUUGGAAAGAUGAGUAAAUCACCUUUCACUGGUACUUGUGAAAUAGGUGAGGGAUUGUUGGAUCUCAUACACACAGAUGUGUGUGGGCCCUUCAGAUCCUCCAUAAGGGAUGUUAACCGCUUGUAUGUGACUUUUAUUGAUGAUUAUAGCAGAUAUGAAUAUAUCUACUUAAUCAAGCACAAGUCGGAAACCUUUGAAAAUUUCAAAGAGUUUAAGAAAGAAGUAGAGAAUCCAUUGGGCAGGAAGAUAAAUAUGCUCGGAUCCGAUAGGGGUGGUGAUUAUCUUAGUAUCGAGUUCAAUGACUAUAUUAAGGAAUGGGGAAUUGUUUCACAAUUGACGCCACCUAGGACACCACAACUUAAUGGUGUGGCUGAGAGGCGCAAUCAAACCUUGUUGGACAUGGUUCUUUCCAUGAUGAUUCGAGCUUCGUUACCAAUCUCAUUAUGGGUAUGCCUUAGAGACUGCCGCCCAUAUCCUUAAUCUAGUCCUAACUAAAAAGCUUGUAAAAACACCUCACGAGAUGUAGACAGAGAAGGUUCCCUCGUUGGCACAUAUCAAGGUUUGGGGUUGUGAAGCUUUCUUCAGACGAGAGACUCGUGACAAGCUUGAACCUCGUAGUGAGCGGUGUAUUUUGAUCGGUUACCCACUAAAAAACUUUGGAUAUCUCUUCUACAGACCUAGUGAUAACGUGGUCUUUGUAGAAACAAGAGGAGUUUUCUGUGAGAGGGAACUCAUAUGCCAAGAGGACAGAGGGAGGACAAUUGAUCUUGAAGAAAUUCAAGAAUCAAAUGGUGAAGGAACCUCUAACACUAGCGCUCAAUCUGAGGAAGAGAUUCUUGUUGAACCAAUUGACGAGUCAUUACCUCUUAGACGUUCCUCUCAAGUUAGAAUGGCACCAGAGUUUUAUGGUUUUCAUAUUACUACGGACGGUGAUACGUUUAGCAGUGAUAGUAUAGUAGUAAAUUUGGAUGAGCCAUCUAGCUACAAGGAAACCAUGGCGGGCUUGGAGUCUGCAAAAUGGAAAGAGGUAAUGGACAGCGAGAUCUAGUCCAUGUAUGACAAUCAAGUUUGUAACUUGGUUGACAAUGUACCAGGUUGAAAGAAAGUUGGGUGCAAAUGGAUCUUCAAGAAGAAGAUUGAAAUGGAUGGAAAGGUGCAUAAGUUCAAGGCAUGACUAGGUUGCGAAGGGUUUUACUCAAACCCUGAGGGUUGACUAUGAUGAGACCUUCUCACUAGUGUCCAAGAUCAAGUCUAUUACGGAUAUGUAAGCUAUCGCUGCGUUUCAUGAUUAUGAAAUAUGGCAGAUGGAUGUCAAAAUCACUUUCCUUAAUAGGAAGUUGGCUGAAGAUGUUUACAAGUGUCAGCCAAAGGGUUUUGUGGAUGCUAAAUACCCCAAUAGAGCGUGAAAGCUUGAGAAAUCCAUUUAUGGAUUAAAGAAAGCGUCUCGUAUAUGGAAUCCUUGCUUCGACGAGAAAGUCAAAGAGUUUGGUUUCUCUAGAAGUGAGGAUGAGUGUUGUGUGUAUGUCAAGGCUAGUGGGUGUAUAGCUAGCUUUCUAGUAUUGUAUGUCAAUGACAUACUGCUCAUACGAGACGAUGUUCCAACCUUGCAAGAAGUUAAGUCCUGGCUUGGGAAGUGUUUCUCGAUGAAGGAUCUAGGGGAAGCUACUUACAUUCUGGGGAUAAGGAUUUUGAGAAAUAGGAGUAGAAGACUAAUAGGACUUAAGGGUCGUUUGAUAGCUGCUAAUUGGGUUAGAGCUGACCGGGUUAGAUCCUGACUGAGUUAGAAGUUCUGAUUGAGUUAACUUCUGACCGAAACUUAUUGUUUGAUUUUACUUCUGACUGACUGUGUAAACUGAUUAUAUUACCCUCAAACAAUAUUUUUUUAUAAUAACUCUUUUAUGAUUUACCAUUUAAUUUAUAACAUUAUAUUUUCUAAUAAAAACAUUCAACACCCAGGAUCAACUAAUAGAUUAUCUCUAUACACUAAACACUAUAUAUGUUUUAUAAAAACAAUGGAUAUUAAUUUCAUUCCAAAUCAUUUUUCAAAAAAAAAAUCAAUUCCAAAUCCUAUCCACCAAACACAUGAGAAAGUCCAAAUAUAUUUACAGAUAACUACUUGCUUCAAAAUUUAACUCCAAACGAGACUAAAUACAAAAACAAACAAAAGUAUGUUUUAAUCAAGCUGCAAUUUCUUGUCCUUGAUCUUAUACUCUUGUUACCUAUCCUUUGUCCUAUACUCCUGUUACAUGUUAUAGAUUGAAACUCAACACUAAACAGCCACAAUAUAUGCAAGAAAACCCAUCAAUAACAAUGUAAUCUCACUGAGGAUUUUUAUCAAACACAUUGUGUGCAAUGUUAUGAACUCCGCCUCUUUACAAGCAUUAUUGGUAGAGGUACCCUAAAAUUAAAUUACAAUCCUCAAAGAAUGACAACUCAACCAAAAUGGAAAAUAAUUUAAACAUCUUGUUACCUCAAUUCGAAUUUGCUAAAUUUCCAAGAAAACUUUCAAAAAGAAACGCACUCAAAUGUUGUGAAGUUUUGCCUUGUUCUUGAUCGUGCAUCUCUGUCUUUUCCCCCCUUUGAUCGAUCCCUAUUAGAAUCAGCAACCAAUAACUCUGAAAAAAAAAAGCAUCAUCGAUAAAAAGAAGUCCUCCUUUCAUUAGCUCUGAUACAACAAUUUGGACUGGAACCAUCGGAUUUCUUUGGCCAUUAGAAUCUGUGUGAUCGAUAGAAAGAGAUGAACAACUGCAUCAAGGACAAAGAGGGCAAAGCUUUCCAAUUGAGGACAACUGAAGCCAAAUCAAACUCGGUCAGGAGGUUUUGAAACAAGGACCGAAUCAUCAGAUUUCUUUGCACCGAAUCCCUUCUUUGGACCGAGUCCGACGAUGAAAAAGCCAAAUCAAACACAACAACUUCCGACCCAGGACCGAGUCCCUCCUUCUGACUGGGUUAACAUUAAUAUCAAACAGCCCCUUAGUCAAAUUACUUACUUGGACAAGGUGCUAAAACGUUUUAGCAUGGAAAAUUCCAAGAAAUGGGAGCUACCAAUCCAUAGCAAUACCAAGCUGAGUAAGACUUAGAGUCUGAGUAUCGAUGUCGAGAUAGCGGAAAUAAGUCGAGUGCCAUAUGCUUCCGCCGUUGGCUCAAUUAUGUAUGUUAUGACAUUUACUCACCCUGAUGAGGAUUUUGCGUUGAGCAUGGUUAGCCGAUAUCAACGAAACCCAGGUAGAGCUUACUAGAUAGCAGUUAAGAACAUUCUUAAGUACCUGCAAAGGACUAAGGACUAGGUCCUUAUACUUGGUGGGAGUGAUGAAUUGAGAGUGACAGAGUAUAAUGACACCAGAUUUCAAACCGAUAGAGAUAACUUCCGCUCUCAAUCGGGUUGGGGGUUUACCCUAAAAGGAGGAUCAAUGACUUGGAAAAGUUCCAAGCAAGAUACCGUGGCUGAUUCAACGUGCGAAUCAUAGUACAUAGCAGGGAGCAAAGCAUCGAAGGAGGAGAUAUGGUUGAAGAACUUCAUUAGAGACCUUGGAGUUGUACCAGCCAUAAAGGAGCCCAUGGAGAUUUUCUAUGAUAACGAAGGAGCAGCUGCCUACUUGCCUUGACCAAGGAACCAAGGAAUCAUGGUAGAUCCAGAUAUAUCGACAGAAAAUACCACUUCAUUAGACAUCGGGUAGAAGGACUCCUCGUGGUCAAGAGGGUGUUGUUCAAAGAAAAUCAUGUGAAUCCCCUCACAAAGGGUCUAAGUAGGAUCAAGCACGUUCAGCAUGCGAGGAGCAUUUAUCUGAAGGAUGAUAUUAGUUUUAUUGAUUAGAUAGAUUUUUAGAAACUUGUAAUAGAUAAAUGUAAUUGACAUUUGUUGAUUAUACAAUGGAGAUUUAUAUAUGAGUAGUGUUUACUAUCUUGUGCCAAUUGUUUACUAUUGUUUCAUUUUUUACUUCCUGAAUAAUUGGAUUAUUCAAAUUAUCCACUGUCGAUCUUACUUUGGAAGUAAGUAACGAGGCAAGAAUGUCAUGAAUUGGUCUGUAGAUUGUCUAAGUGCUUAUACAUAGCAAAAGGUUGCUGCAACAUUCAUGAGUACUCCUGAAAUAGGAUUUGAGUAUUGAAUCAAACCCACACUCAUUUGAAUUACUUCAUGGAAUUUAUCACGAGUAACUGUGAGAUGAUAAUACCGUAUAAUCUUUAAACCGAGAUAUGUGAGUUGUUGUUUACGAGUUGGUUGUGCAUUGAUAAUGCGUAAACGCAUUAGUAACUUGAUGUUAUAAAACGUGUUGUUGUGUACAAUUUAAUGACUAAAUAGUACAAGCAUAUAAGUCAAAGUUUAUUUGUUCCUUUUAUCCUAAGAGGGUAAAAGCGAUAUCUUGGGCCCCUCGAUGAUUUUAUAUUGACUUAUGUGUCGGUCCCAGUUAGGAUUGAAUUGAUGUGUUCAAUUAAGUUCGUUGUCAGGAAAAUCCAAAAUCGUGAAACAAAUUAUUGGACAUUGAGUAUGACUCUAUUCCAUGUUUUUGUCCACACGAUAUCUUGCAGAACGGAGGAUUAUAUGAUCCCUUAUCUAAAGGACGCGUCAUUAACUAGGUCAGAGUUUGACAACGGCUUUUGAUAGCUACGAUUGUUAGUCAGAUUUUGAAGUCAUACUUGCAAUUUUAGUUAUUAGACUUAUCCAAGUAGGAGACUCUUGGAUUAGGUGUCUAUGCCCAUAACUAUAAUUGGUAUGUACUUGAUCUGAUAGUAGCAUGGUCCUUUUGGGUACGUUGCCUUCACCCUAGCAACUUGAUAGGAUAACUUUUGGAGAAAGAGGUUGAUAAAUGAUUUAUUGAUAUAGUGUAAGAAUAAUAUAUUAAUUGAGAAAUCAUAUUAUUUAAUUAGUAUUAAUCAGAAAUUAAUAUGGAAUUUAUUUAGGAAUUAAAAGAACUGAUUAAAAGGAACGGGGACUGAUAUUGCAAAUCACUAAUAGUUGCAAUUAGGGUUGAUAGACUCCUUAAGGAAGGAGUGGAAGAAAUUUAUGGGAACCCCAUGGAGAUUUCGUCUAAGGUAUUCUAAAAGGUAUCCAUAGAGUGCUUAAGGCCUAAGCAAUCAGAUUAGGGUUUCACCUAGUAAAACCCUAGGAGCCUCAGCUAUAUAAAGAACCCCUUGGUAUAUAAUUUUCGUCCUAUGAAUUCUAAGAGAACCCUAGCCGAAAAUUAAAGAUCCUCCAUCACCUUUCUCCUUCAUGCUUUGCUAGUGGUGUUUGUGGCUCCAUUAGAGGUGCAACACUUGGGGCACUAAGCUCUUAGAAGUCAAGAUCAAGCAAGGAAUACUUGUUAUUACUAGAUAACAAGAAAAGUAUUCUUCUAACCCUAAUAAUGUAUAGAUUUCGAUUCUAUAUAUACUAGAUCUAGGGUUAUUGCUUUAGAAAAUUUACUUGCAUGUAUAACUUGAGAAAAACCUAGAUCCAAAGCAAUAAGGGUUGCAUGUACACAUAGGAAUGUUGUUAUGCUUAAAACCCAUCAAUUAUACUAAACAAUUUCCUUAGAUUACAUAGCAUCUAGAAUUAAUGUCGAUCAAUUAUAUGAUAUGCAUUAUACUUAGUUGUUACUCUAUCCUAAUAUACUGUUUUCAAAUAAACCAUAAUUAGGGUAUAUAUAUAUGGCAAAAUUAUAUAUAUAUAUAUAUAUAUAUAUANAUAUAUAUAUAUACACACACACAUACACACACACUCAAAGAAAAUUAUGAGAUAUAUCAUAAUUAUCAAAUAUAAAGUUAAAGAAUUAUACUAUGAUAAUUAUAGGAAUUACUAAGUAAGAAAGUUAAAAGAUAAAAGACCUAAGGUUAAUGUAUCAGUGAGAUGCUAUUAUUCAUCCUUAGCCUGUUUAAAUUCGGCUACCCCGAACCGAUAAUCGUUAAUCUUGCAAGAGCCAUAAAGAUAUGCAUAAAUCUAUACGGGGUUUGACACCCCCAUCUGCGAUUGGUAGCUACAAUCCCGAAUUCAUAACUUUCUUUAUUAUAUACAAGUAUCAUUCGAUGUCUGAUGAAGCAUGGUGCGGGGGAAAUAAUUAGUCCACAACGUCUAUUAUGGAGGCUCAUGGUAAUACAUCUCGACAACCUUAAGGAAUCAACUAUCUAGAGAGACGCCUUAGAGUAGUUAAUAAAAUAAGUUAGGAUUAGUAAAAUAUCCUAAAAUAUAAGAUAUUAAGAUAGGGUUGGUAAAAUAUCCUAUAAAGAUAUUAAGGUAAGAUUGAUAAAAUCUCCUAAGGGUGUUUUAUAAAUUAGGAUUAAUAGAAUAUCCUACAAAAAAGAAUAUAGAACCUUAAAAUUUAAAGUAUUAAGAAAAACCUAUAAGUUUCAAGAUACAAGGAACUUGGAAGAUACAGUAUAGUAAAAUCUAGGAAACAAGCAAUAUAAAAAAAUGAUCAUAAUCAUUGUAAAAGUUCCUAAAAAGUUUUCAAAAGAGUUUAUUGAAUGUUUAUUUAAACCUGUGAACUCGCCAACAUCAAGUUGAUGUUUUCAAAACCAUAGUAUUCCUAGGAUGGAAUAAGGAUAAACCCAAGGAAGCACAAUCAUCUUGAAGAUAGAUAUGUUUUAUAUAUUCCAUGUAAUAGAGAUCAUUUGUUUUUAAAAAGGUAUUUAUCGUUUGUGCUCUGUGAUUUGGGUAAUUUAUGUGACCACUGUCACCCCUCGGCACUUCCGCCGACAGCUGGGGGAGGUGUGACAAUAUAUGAAUACAGUUACAUUUAUAUUCACAUAUGAAUAUUUCCUAUCCCUCUUCGCACUGGUACGAUUAUGUUUGUGGAUAAAAUAAAUAAUUGACUAAGAAUGAUUCCUUUAUUCUCAACAUUUUUUUACUCAAUUGAACUAAUCUCUUUGUCUCUGUCUCUCUCUCUCUCUCUCUCCCUAUAUAUAUAUAUAUAUAUAUAUCUAUAUAUAUAUAUAUAUCUAUAUAUAUAUAUAUAUCUAUAUAUAUAUAUAUAUCUAUAUAUAUAUAUAUAUCUAUAUAUAUAUAUAUAUCUAUAUAUAUAUAUAUAUCUAUAUAUAUAUAUAUAUCUAUAUAUAUAUAUAUAUGGCUCAUGAACACCAACAAAAUUUUUACUGACGGAGUAGAUGAACUGGUGACGUGUGUGGGUAGUGUGUAGGUGGUGACCGCAUAUAUACAUCGUUCUCUUCGUCUCUCUCGCCCUUUCUCUUUAUAGCUCUGACAGCUCCUAGUUGGAGAAGAUAAAACGAUGAAAUUGUGGGUUACAUACUUACAGUAAGAGAUUCAUGCUUUGUGGUAGUGGCCAAUUUAUUUUAUUUUUUCAAUUAUUAAUAAUAUAGACAAGUUAAAAAUAAAUCAAAAUAAAAUAGAUAAGGGUAAAUUUGUCAUUUUAGGUAUGAUUAAUGAAACCAAGGACAAAACAUGCAACUUUUAAACAUAUCAGGGACGACCUGAGUUAAUUUUUGAAAUAUGGACCAAACGUAACUUUUGGGGCAUGUAUGACGGACGAUUCGCAUAUAUNCAAAAAUUAACUCGGACCGUCCCUACUAUGUUUAAAAGUUGUAGGUUUCAUCACUAGUUUCAUUAUAUAUAAUGAGAAAUAUUAUUUUUAAAUGUGUUGACCUAUUAAAAUAAAUUUAGAAACUUCAAUUCUAUCUAAUCUAAUAAGUUGUAGGUUUCAUCACUGGUUUCAUUAUAUAUAAUGAGAAAUAUUAUUUUUAAAUGUGUUGAGCUAUUAAAAUAAAUUUAGAAACUUCAAUUCUAUCUCAAUCUAAUAAGUUCAAAGUUUCAAAACAAAACAAGUUAUUUGUUAUUUGGUUGGAUUCAAAGCUCUAAUUCUAAUAUAAUAUUUAAAUAACUUAACAUUAUAAAUUAGUGUUAAUGAACACCAUAUUUGGGAUAUCAGGCAUCAACUAUUCACGAAACAAACCAAGAUGUAAAAGAUAAAUCACAUAAAAAAUACAAUUUAUUGUUGUAUAUGAACAAAGUAAAGAAAAUACUUAAACAUUAAUAAAUUUCAUAAAGAAGCAACCAUCAAGAUCCAUAAGUUUUUCAAAACUCAACAACACCCAUCCAAGAGCCAUAAACAUAACUAAACGCCUUCAAAGAUCAACAUAUAUACUAAGUCUAUUCAAAUAUUACAACAACUUGGAUAUUAUGAAAAAUCUCCAUUAAUACAUUGCACUUUAAGAUACUCUAUUUUAACACCAUUAUAGUAGGUAAUGUUUAGUUUUUAAAGUAAAUUCACAUCCCAUGUUUUAUAUUGAAUAAUUAUUCUUUAGCUUUUAAAGUAAAACAACUAACAAUCUAUAAUUGUUUAACUUAUAUUAAUUCAAACAAAAUGUCAUUAUAUAUAAUGAAAAUGUAUAAAUAUAAAAAAAUUAUAAAAAUAACAUAUUGUGUUUUGAUAAUAUUAAAUUAAAUGAAUAAAUAAAAAAUAAAAAUAAUAUAUAUUAAAAUAUAGAGCCAUAACUCAAAUUUAUAUUUAUUUGGAUAGAGCCAUAACUCAAAUUUAUAUUUAUUUGUGUAAAAUAAAAUUUCAUAUAUAUAUAUAUAUAUAUAUAUAUAUAUAUAUAUAUAUAUAUAUAUUUUCUCUCUNNNNNNNNNNNNNNNNNNNNNNNNNNNNNNNNNNNNNNNNNNNNNNNNNNNNNNNNNNNNNNNNNNNNNNNNNNNNNNNNNNNNNNNNNNNNNNNNNNNNNNNNNNNNNNNNNNNNNNNNNNNNNNNNNNNNNNNNNNNNNNNNNNNNNNNNNNNNNNNNNNNNNNNNNNNNNNNNNNNNNNNNNNNNNNNNNNNNNNNNNNNNNNNNNNNNNNNNNNNNNNNNNNNNNNNNNNNNNNNNNNNNNNNNNNNNNNNNNNNNNNNNNNNNNNNNNNNNNNNNNNNNNNNNNNNNNNNNNNNNNNNNNNNNNNNNNNNNNNNNNNNNNNNNNNNNNNNNNNNNNNNNNNNNNNNNNNNNNNNNNNNNNNNNNNNNNNNNNNNNNNNNNNNNNNNNNNNNNNNNNNNNNNNNNNNNNNNNNNNNNNNNNNNNNNNNNNNNNNNNNNNNNNNNNNNNNNNNNNNNNNNNNNNNNNNNNNNNNNNNNNNNNNNNNNNNNNNNNNNNNNNNNNNNNNNNNNNNNNNNNNNNNNNNNNNNNNNNNNNNNNNNNNNNNNNNNNNNNNNNNNNNNNNNNNNNNNNNNNNNNNNNNNNNNNNNNNNNNNNNNNNNNNNNNNNNNNNNNNNNNNNNNNNNNNNNNNNNNNNNNNNNNNNNNNNNNNNNNNNNNNNNNNNNNNNNNNNNNNNNNNNNNNNNNNNNNNNNNNNNNNNNNNNNNNNNNNNNNNNNNNNNNNNNNNNNNNNNNNNNNNNNNNNNNNNNNNNNNNNNNNNNNNNNNNNNNNNNNNNNNNNNNNNNNNNNNNNNNNNNNNNNNNNNNNNNNNNNNNNNNNNNNNNNNNNNNNNNNNNNNNNNNNNNNNNNNNNNAGACAUACAUACAUACACACUAUAAAAGUAAUCAUAUCGUUAUUAUUAUCUUUGAAAUAAUUAUAUUUAUACGAAGUUAAUAUAAAAACUCAUUAUAGCAUGUUUGAUGCCUUUAAGGCAUACAACAAAAAAUUAUUAAUAACAUUAAACUGAUUAUGAAAGAAUACUUAUUGUUCCAAAAAAAAUCAGCAUAGUAAUAACCACGAUGCAUCAAAACACUCUUUUUUCAACUCUUCAUAUUUUAAUUAAAAAUAUCUUAAAACACGUGAUUGUUUGUGAAAAAAACUUAUUUAUAUAUUACUUAUACAGAUACAAUGUAUAUCAAUGGGAGGAAAAUAAAAAGUCACUACCAAUUACUAACCAUAGGUUACAAAAACUUUUGAGUUGUGAUUAAUAACUCUAUAUUUGAAAUCAUAAGUAUACACAAAUUAGAAAACUCUUUUGUUGUUGUGAAAAUUUCAAAUGAAUUUGAUUUAAGUAAAUUUNCAUACACACACACACAUAGAGAGACGUACAUACACGCUAUUAAAAUAACCAUGUCACUAUUAUUACUUUUCAAAUAAUUAUAUUUAUACGAAGUUGAUAUAAAAACUCAUUAUGUCAUGUUUGAUGCCUUUUAAGGCAUAAAAUAAAAAAUUAUUAAGAACAUUAAACUAAUUAUGAAAGAAACUUUGUUAAGCUUGUAAACUUGUCAUUUUAGGCAACUCCAUAUAAGAAUUGUACAACUUGCUAUAACGAUGAACUUGAAAUUAAGCUUUUAUGAUACAAAUUAUGGAUCAUAUUAAUAUACUUAACAAGUAUUGUUUUAAUCAAUUACAAUAUAUGGUUCAAACAACCUUUUAUACAUGUACAAUUGUAAAUAUGAAAGGAAACAAAAGUCUAAGAAAAAACAAAGCAUAUUGAAAUAUUCAUAACAAAAACGAAUAGAUAAAAACAAAUAGGCUAAUGAUGUUGUUCUCACAUGUAACUACGAAAAUUGUAAACCACAACUCGAAUUGCACAUCACUACUAGAAAAAAAAAAUAUAACACGAUCAAACUAUAAGUAAAAAAUGAUACAUUCGUCCACAACCUUGACUUGUAAAGCUCUCUUAGGGACUCCAUCACUGCUAAUACGUUCUAAAAGAAUUGUGUCUAUUGAAAUUUGUUCUUUUCAUUUUCUUAUAACAUCCUUCUUACAUGUAAGAGUUUAUAUAGCAUGUUUGGUUUUUAAUGCUAAAUCAAUUACUUAGAAGACAUGUUAAAAUUCAUUUGAGAAUAUGAAAAGACAAAAGAGUUUCAAAUCAAUGUGGUGCUAAGAAAUAUAGUCAUUUGAGAAUAUGAAAAGACAAAGGAGUUUCAAAUCAAUGUGGUGCUUAAGAUAAUGCUUCUAUUAUAAGAUACUAGACGAAUUCCGCGCGUUGCGCAGCAUAGGUUUAAAAUAUAUUUUUAAAAUGUUGAAAAAUAUAUAUUUAAAAUGGUUAUGUUAUUGACAUUAAAUUUGACAUAAUAUCUUGAACAAUAUUUUUCAUUGACAUCAAUCUACAUUCCUCGUUAAUAAAAUUAAAUAUAAUUAUCUAUUUAAUAUUAUUUUUAACAAUUUUUAUAAUUGAUUAAGUUAAAUUUUACUUAUGUAUUAUUUCCUAAUUCCAAUAAUGAUGUUAAUUUAAAAUACAAUUUAUUUGUUGUUAACGUUAUGUAAUUUAUAAAUUGAUGUUAUUAUCAUUUAAAGUUAUUCUUUAGUUUUAAACCACUUAUUAUUAUUAAUAAGUUAAAGAAGACUUUUAAGAAACUCUUAAUAUUACUAUUAAAAUGUGAAACAUACACUAAAUAAUAAACUAAUAAGAUAGAUAAUUUGCAUUUCAAAAAAGAUUUGCAUGGAUAAUAUGACAUAUCCAUGGUUUUUAUUAUUUGAUUUUAUUAUUUAUAAUUAUGGUUCAUUAGUUUUAAAACCACUUGUUAUAUUUAAUAAACAAAAGAAAACUUUUAAAAGACACUUUUUAUUAUAAUUAAAAUGUUAAAGAUAUACUAAAAUAAAAAGUGAUAAGAUAGACAAUUUACAUUUUAAAGAGACUUACAUGGAUAUUAUGUAUAAUAUUCCAUAUCCAUGAUUUUUGAUUAAUUAUUAGUUUGAAGCAACACAAACAUACAAACAUAUAUACAAUAUUUAAUUAAAUAUUAUCUAUAUCACUUUCCAUAACAUAUGAUCGAUAAUAUGAAUCUAAUCUAAUUUACAUUAAAGUUUCAACCACAACAUACAAGGAUUGUUUUAAAAGAAUAAUUAAACCAAGAAAAAUAUAAAAAUAGAAUUAAUAUAUAACAAACUUACAAAUUAAAAACUUUAACAUAAUAACGUGGCUUGAAAAAUGGUCCAAAACCAUCAAACAACCACAAAUCAUUUAAACUUGUUUUCUUUGUGAAUUUUGUAUGUGAUUUGUAUUUGUGUGUCUACUCAAAAAGAAUGACAUUUUUAUAGUAGACAUAUUAUAUAAGUUAUAAAACCUUUCAUGAUAUGUGAUUAAUUACUUUGAAGGUGAAAAUGUGUGGGGGUUUCAAAUGCAUGAGGUGCUUGGAAAUUUGUGUGGGGGUUUCAAAUGCAUGAGGUGCUUGGAAAUUUGUGUGGGGGUUUCAAAUUCAUGAAGUGAUAGGAAAAAUGUCUCAUUUAUAAGUAUUACAAGGUUAAGAAUCUCGAAUAGAUCAAGUUUCUAAGACAUAUUCAUCAAAUAAAUUCAAGAAAUCACACAUAUCAUACAAAAACACAUGGAUCUACACAUUUUACUUGUAUUCUCCCCCAUAAAUCAUGUAAAAACAAAAAACAAGGGGUGUGAACUCACCUUUGCUUUGUUGUUUCGGUUUUGAAGAAAAGGUGGAAGGAUUUUUGGUCUUAGUACAAAUUUGAUGUAAAUCUCGAGUUUAUGAAGAUUUCUAGGAGUAUAAACACCAAAAACUUUGUUUAAAAGAAUGAUCUAACAAGAGAGUGAAGUUAUGAAGCUUGGAUGUGUCAAGACUUACCAAAAGUGAUGAUUAUCUUGUAAAAGUCCGUUUGAGACACAAGCAAAACCUUGAGAAUUUUUGGAGGAAGAAGGAGGAUGAUUUAGAGAUGUUUGGAGAGAGUUUGGUGUAGUGUGUGUGUAUGUGUGUGUUUGGGGCUCUCGGCCGAGUAGAAGAAGAGAGGGAAGAGAGAGGUGGUGAAAUGACUAACAUGGAUACAUGAAGGAUCUUGCAUGGAUACAUGGUGUAUAAAAUGGAGGUGGCAUCUCUAAGUCAACUCCACUCCUCUAUUUCCAUUUUUUUAUUGGAUGAUGAGCCAAGAUUUUGGGCCAAAAAGAAAGGAUAGAGUAGAUUUGGUCCAUUUACCUUAGCUAGGAUAUUUGGAUCCUAAACAUAGAAUUUUCCGGCCCAUUGGGCCCUUGGAAGAAUUCACGGCCCAAAAAGAAUAAAAGAAUGGGUUUAUGGCCCAUUAGGGCUAAUUAGAUUUGUUAUGGCCCAGCAAGGCCCAUUGAAGGUAAGCUAAUCCAUUUUAAGCCCAUUAUGGCCCAAAAUGUUAAGUUUCAUGAAAAUGGGUCCAAUUAGACCCCAUUUAAGAGUUCUAAUCCAAAGUAGUCAAAUUGGAGGCUUAUUGGUCCAUUAGGCCCAAUAAUAAAAUCUUAGUCCAAAAUGGACUUAAACCGGGAUUUUUAGGGUUUCCAAUUUGAAGUUGACUAAUUGAAGAACUUUGCAUUGAAUUUUGAUCUUUCAUUUGGAUUUUUUUAGAUGGAAGUUUGUUGUCAUUGAAUAAACAUCAUGCAUGAUUUCAAGUUUUAGUUACAAUUGUUAUCCUUGUUAAUGUUUACAAAAGCAUUAGAAUUGAAUUUCCUGGUUGUGACAUGUUAUCCGUAAGGUUAGUCUUUUCGCUACUUUACCUGUGUGAUAUUUAUAUUUAUGACCAGUUGGGUCUUUAUUGCUAUUUUUCUGUUUUGUAUGAAUUGCAUUGCUGAUACAUUGGGAUUUAUUAUAAUCCCUAAGUUGCUGAUAACCUGUGAACAUGUUGUUAAUCUAUAGGGGGUGUUGUUAGACCACUAUGAUUGUUGAUUAUCCGCAGGGUUGUUGAUAAACCAUACUUGUUUAUUAUGUUGUGUUGUAUGGAUAUUUUGGGAAGAACACACCAAACUUUAUGCUUACAGUUGUGGAUUAAAUGUGUUUUAGGUACCUCGGGUGAUCAUCGAAAGGCGAAAACAUGACUGUACACUCCGACUUGCACAUGUUUUUAUGAUUUCCACAUUUUGAUACUAUAAUUUGGGAUGAUUGUAUUGGUAGCCUUGGGAUUUCUUCUUUUGGUUUUUAUGAAAAAUUGAGGUUUUUGCUAAAAUAAAAAUGAAAUUUUUGUUAUUAAAUUUGGGUUGUUACAAGCUGGUGUCAGAGCCCUGGUUUGAGAGAAUUAAAUGAAUAUUCGUGGGAUUCCAGACUCAAACCAAGGAUCUGAAAAUUUAUAAAUCUUUUUACAAAAGAAUGAGUUUUAUAGAAUGGAACAAAGGAAGCAGAGUGUACAGUCAGCUGGAGCCCGAGGCAGUGUUCUUCCAAAAUAUCCAUAAAUAUGUUAUAUGUUGUGUUGUAGUUGUUGUUUUUGAGUUGAUAGAAAUGCAUGUUAGUUGGUAGGGUAAGGAUCCCUCAAGAGUUUCAGGAUAGGGUUGUCUGACUUUGUGAUGCCUUAUAGUCUAAUAGAUUACUUGUGAAUGCUUUACUAUAGUUGGAGCUAAGAUUGCCAAUUACUUUAUGUAAACAACAUGGUUAUACAUAGUUAGGAUUUUAUAGCCUUUGAAUAACUUGUUUACCCUUACUUCUUGUUCCUUAUUUAGUUGUGGAUUUGGGGUUGGAAUCUCUUAUUUGAAUGUCUAUUGAUUUUAGGUUAUGUACAAUCGGUUUACGCGGAGUCAUUGGUAAUGUUAGCAGAAACUUCUUGUGGAGCGGUAGCUGGGCAGGGACCUAAGAUGUUUAUAUCAAGGUUUAAAUGUGGCUCUUUGAGCACUUAGAUGUAUGUGGGAUACUUCUGUGAAAGCAUAGUGUUUGUGAUUUGGAACUUUUUGAGGGGAUCUAAAUCAACUAUGGAUAGAUACGAAAGGUAGUAUGGGCCCGUACUACUGGAAGCAUAGGAUCUGUAUAGGGUUUAAAAGAAUUUUCUUAAGAUUUUAUUUUAUAUAUUCAUAUUCUAUAUGUUUAACUAGUAUAAAAAUCAUUUAAAAGGGGUUUGCGAAAUUUGAAAGAAAAAAUAGAAAGUCAUCAACGGAAACAGAAUGAGAGGGAUUCGAACCCUCGGUACGAAUAACCCGUACAAUGGAUUAGCAAUUUGCCGCUUUCGUCCACUCAACCAUCUCUCCCAAUUGAAAAAGAUAAUUACCAUGUUACAUUACACAUUAAGUAAGGAUUAACGAAAAUACUUCUUUCACAUUCUUUAUCAUUAUUAUAUAAUUAGCAAUUCCAUUUAUAUGCUCGAAAGAUCCAAAUAGAAAGAUAAAUAAAGAAGACCUUGUUGCUUUUAUUUUGUUCGAAUGAGUAUUGUAAGGAGGUGCUAAACAAUUUCUUUCUUCCGUUACUUGUUGUUUAUUGAUGAAAAAUAAUGUCUCAUUCAAUAGAAAAUUAUUGAAUUGAAAAUAAUCUAUUUCUCACCAAUAUGAGUUUAGAGCUAGAAACUGAGGAUCAGGUAAAAUAUGAAUCGGAUAAGGUAGUUUCUAAUAAUUCAUGAAAUUGAUUAGAAUAUUCCCAUAACAGUAAGUAGAUGUGAGAUCUAUAAAUCUUUGUUAUUCAUAGUUGUAGAAGCGGUUUUUGUUGGAAUCUUUAUUUUUUCUUUUAAGGAAUUGGUUAAUCGUCUAGUAACAAGUAAGAAUAACAAAUUUUAUUUGAUAAACGAAAAAGAACAAAGAAUGAAAUAAUUGGAAUCAUUAAUAGUGCAUGCAUUGUUGUAUUUGAUCAAAAUCGGAAGGUUCUUUAUCGACUUAACUACAAAAAUGUAGAUUUUUGGAAAGAUACAGAAUAGAACUUCUAAAGCAAAAUAUAAUAAAAAUGACUAGUCUUAGAAUAUAGUUGAACCAUAACACUUAUUUUUUUCGAGUGAUCAUGUGAUAACUUUUUGUUAUCAUUCAUUCAAGAUAUUAUAUAAGUGAACCUAUUACGGAAUCUAAUUAGUUAAAAUCAAAGUAAAAGUUUUAUAAGAUUAUUGUUUGCUCUAAAAUAUAAAAUUAAUUCGAUACAACAAAAAAUGAUAAAAAGAGUAAUAAUUUAAUAAUUUCAUUCCAUAGUCAUUCGAGAAGACUUUCAUUUUAAAAUAAAAUUAAAUGACCCAGUUCUUAUUAUUCAUUUCUAAGUUAAGUUGAAAAAUUAUCCAAGAAUGAAUUCGCUGAUUGGCGGCAUGGGUAGAUGUUACAGAUGAUUAAUCUAUUUUUCUUACCUAAUUCAAUUAAGUUUGAUAUUGGGUAGUCUAAUUCGCAGUAUGUGUGAGUAAGUUAGGAACGGAGAGUAUAAUUCUGUUCCGUGACACUUUUAGGUAUUGAUGGUAUGAAAUACGUAUCAUAGUACAUAUUGUAUUCCUUUUUAGAUGCCCAGUGUAACGUCCUAAAAUUUAAUACAAGGUUCUUAAGUUAAUAUAGUGAAAAAUAAAAUAUGAUUUAUAUAGUUAAACCAUCAAAUUAUAAUCAUGUCAUUAUUUGAUAUGAAGUUUAGAAAGUUAUAAGUGAAAAGAAUAACAUUUCAAGAGUUAAAGGACCAAAAGUGUCUAAUUAGCAAAGUGAGUUGACCAAAGGGUUGACUCUAUUAGCGGAAAGGACUACUAAAGUUACAUAAUGGAUGGAGAAGGACUUGUUAUGUCAAAAAUUGAGUUAAAAUCACAAAUAUCGAGUUUAUGGUGGGAAUUGGCAAAAAUACUCAAACUAAAGGGAUCAAACGUGACAAAUUCGAGAAUAAGAUGCAUCCACUAUUCCCUUAUAGUGUAAGAAUGAUUUUGAGCACCAAAAACCCUUUAUAAUGGCGAUUAUUAAUCCCUUCUCUAUAUAUGCUUGAUUCGAAUGAGGAAUUGAACAUCCAAGCACAUAAAGGAAGGAACAAAUGCUUACAAGGUAUAAUUUCUACCCCUCUUAGCAUAGAUAUCGAUUUUGAGAAGUGAGUAAAACCCCAAUGUCGAAUUUGAUGAGACUCAAUGAUUAGGGUUUCGUUUUCUAAACUUCCUUGAGUGGUUUCUAUGGUUCUAAUCUCAAUCCAAUCAUCCAUCGAUGUAUUUGAUGAUUUGGGUAAAAAUCUCCAUGAACCAUAAAAAUAUAAUUUGGGGAUAUUGCAAUUGAUGAUGAAAUUGGUUUGUAUUCUAUGACCUAGAUGAUGUUUAAUGAAAAUAAAUCUAAUUAGAAACUCAAACACAUCCAUGAUGGUUGAAUCAUGUAAAAUCUUGAAUUGAAAUUGAGAUAGGGACAACAUGAUGAAACUAACGGAAUCAUUUGUAGUUAAGAACUUGACGAGUAAAGGAAGUUCAUAAUCAUGUAUGGAUACUCUUGGAAUAACUUGAAUUCAAAUCAUAAGAUGUUGCUUAAUUCCUAGAUUGAUAUAUGGAAUAAUUGUCCAUAAGGGUAUUUUGAGAACUUUAGGGAUAAGUACAUGGUGAUUGACAUAUUGGAAGUGAAUGACAUUUAUAAACAUGACUUGACACUAUAAAUAUGUUAUUAUAACAUAAACAUGAAGGGAUUAUAGUGAACUUAAAGGGAAAAUGGGAAAGUUGGAAUUGAAUCAGAGAUUCCAUAACCCCGUUAAGGAAUUAACAUGAGAUUUGUAUAAUGUUAAGUACUCGACAACAACCAAUUAUGUAUUAGAUGAUUUGGGAAUAAAUCAUAUUGGUUAAAGAGUGUUCUCGAGCAACCUGAUCUCUUAACCUUUUCAUUUGAGUGUUUGUAAGUAUUAUGAGCUUAACCUUUUGAUAAAGGUCUUAAUGAUUAAUUCAUCAUGAGUAUAGAGAAUAAUUGUGUAUUUGAGAGAUUGAUAACCUUUAUUAAGUCCUUAAUAAACACUUGGUAAAGUUUGUGGCCAUUGGAAGCCUAAGGAACAACUUACAAAGCUUUUAGCAAAAUUCUACACAAAACGGUGAUAUGCAAUCGUGACACAGGGCAUGUUAAAAUGACAUGAGGGGCAUGUGAGUCAUGACACGGGGGUGUUUCCUUUUUUGACGCAGUUCGUGUCAGGUUUUGUUAGGUGUAUAUUUUUUCAUGAAAAACCUAGUAAAUGAAAUCUGAUUGCCCUCAAAAUUUAUAUAUAAGCUAAUAUGAAUAAAUAAGCUUAUGGGAAUAUCUAAAAAUUACAAACCUAUAAGGGGUAUUUUGGUCGUUUUUAAUGACUUAUGUCCAUCCAUGUUAUAUAGCUGGUGAUUGUGAGUCUUUCUAUAAGGAAAAUGAACUAUAAGAGGACUAGCUAUGCUUCUUUUGAUUAAGGUGAGUAUGUGUUGGUAUUUUCCCACUUUGGCGUACAUGACAAAAUGGUUUUUAUUAUAAUGAAAAUGUUUUGCUAUAUGAAAUGUUUUGAAAAGAAAGUGUUAAAUGUUUUUUUGGAAAGAAUGUUUUGAAAAAAUGCCUUGAAGGCACUAAUGUUUUUAAAAGCAAAUAAUGUUUUGAAACAAAAAAUGUUUUGAUAACGUAUUUGAAAGGUUUUUGAAAUAUAGAUGCUUUAAUUUAGGAAUUGAGUAUCUUAAUACUAACGUAUGAAAUGUGUAGAUCAUGGCAAGUAAUUACAAGAAAUGGAAAGUACUAAUUAAAGUAUUUUAAUUUUCGAAUUCUACAGUCACCCACCUAAGUCAUGUGAGUGCGUAAUCCCCUUCAUGAUCAUGAUUUUAAUACGAGUAUUAAUUAAAGUAUUAAAUAUUUUCAUUUUUUUAUAUAUGAGCUAUAUGCUUAUUUUGUGGAGUGUGUGUUAGAUAUGUAUUUGAGGAUAUACGAUAUGCGAACCAAAUAUGGUUCUAUAUGUGUUACGAGAUAUAUAUCUACUAUUAUGUGAUAAUAUCAAUAACAAUAAUAUUAAGAUAAGGAUAAAAGUGUAUUAAUACCUAAAUAAUCUNUACACACACAGAGAGACAAAAAGAUAAUUAGGAUAAUGUUGUCUAAACAUAGUUGGUAUUGGGAACCUAGAAGUUUUACCCGUUAAUCUGAUAAGACUUAUUAUAGAUACAUAGUUCAAUUAACUUUGAUAUUGGGUAGUCACAUUCGGAGUAUGUGUGGGUAAGUUAGGAACAAAGAGUAUAAUUUUGUUCCAUGACACUCUCAGAUGUUGAUGGUAUGAAAUACAAAUUGAAGUACAAAUCAUAUUCCUUUUUGGAUUACCAACAAUGGUGGGUCGAGAUCAGACAUUGUAAUGGUAUGUCUAGUAAUCUCCCAUGUUAAGAUGACAACACUUAAUCAUUCUAGACAGUCUUGUGAAUUCCGUUUUUACUGUGUGCUCAUAACCUACAGACGUAUAUGAAACUAGGCAAAUGCCCGCGCGUUGCGCAGAAACACCUAUAUAGUUGAAGUUUUUACAAAUAUAUGGUUUUUUAAAUAUAACAGUAACGUUGUUGUUAAAUUUGAUAUAAUAAUUUGUAUAUACUAAAUUGAUAUAAUAUAUUGAUUAUUUUGAAUUAUAUGAUAAUAUAUACAUUUAUUAUAACUUCAUAAUCUCAAUCGCUUGAAUGACUUAUACCCGCGAGUUACACAUGAAUAAAGUUAAAUAUAACAUAUGAUUUGAUGUUAUUUAUAGUUGUUUUUAUUGUUAAUUAAUUUUUUAAAAUUUAUUUGCUUAAUGUUUUAAUUUCUAUCAUUAUAAUUAUUUAAAACAUCAAACAUUGUUUUUUUAUUUUAAAGCUAACAAUAUAAUCAUUUAUAUAGAGUUGUUUUUAACUAUUGUUAUUCUAAGUUAAUUUAAGUUACUUAUUUGGAAACUUUUAACAAUUAUAAAAAUAUAUUUAAGAAAUAUUUUAGUUAAAUUGAUAUUACAAUUUAGUUUUUCCUUUUAUCACUACAAUUUAUCACUUUUAACUAUUUACAAAAUAUUCUUUAGUUUUUUUAAAUGGAACUGAAAUUUAUAUUUGAGUUGACAUUGUAAUGCGCAGAAACACCUAUAUAGUUGAAGUCUUUACAAAUAUAUAUUUUUUAAAAUAUAACACUAACGUUGUUGUUAAAUUUGAUAUAAUAAUUCGUAUAUUAAUUUGAUAUAAUAUAUUGAUUAUUUUGAAUUAUAUGAUAAUAUAUAAAUCUAUUAUAACGUCAUAAUCUCAAUCGUUUGAAUGACUUCUACUCGCGAGUUACACAUCAAUAAAAUUAAAUAUUAUAUAUGGUUUAAUAUUAUUUAUAGUUGUUAUUUUUAACUAAUUUUUUAAAAUUUAUUUGCUUAAUGUUUUAAUUUCUAUCAUUAUAAUUAUUUAAAACAUCAAACAUUUUUUUUUGAUUUUAAAGGUAACAAUAUAAUCAUUUAUAUAGAGUUAUUUUUAACUAUUGUUAUUAUAAGUUAUUUUAAGCUACUUAUUUGAAAAUUUUUAACGAUUAUAUAAAUAUAUUUAGGAAAUAUUUUAGUUAAACUGAUAUUACAAUUUAGUUUUUGCAUUUAUCACUAUAACUUAUCACUUUUAACUAUUUACAAAAUAUUAUUUGGAUUUUUAGCGGAACUGAAAUUUAUAUUUAAGUUGAGACUGUAAUGUUCUAUUUAAAUUAACAAUUUAAUCAUUUUGUUCAAACUGUUCAAAGAUUGUAGUUUUAAACUGAUAAUGGUUUACAUGCAACAACAUUUUAAAUCUAAUAAAUUAAGUAUAAUACGUUAAAAUUUAAAGACAUAACUUUAUAAAUAGAAGUAAAGAUAUUAUUUUAAAGUUGAAAUUUAGUCUAUUUAUGAUUACACUUUAGGUUUGAUAUUUAUUUAACCUUAUUAACCAACUUACAAUCAUUAUUAGAAAGACACUACAAUUUAUCACUUUUAAUUAUUUAUAAAAUGUCUUUGGGUUGUUUAAGUUAAAUAAAAUUUAUAUUUAAGUUGAGCCUAUAAUUUUAUAUUUUAAUUAAUAAUUUAAGUAUUUUAUACAAAUUGUUCAAAAAUUAUACCUUUAAAAUGAUAAUGGUUUACAUCCAACAAUAUAUUAAAACUAAUAAAUUAAGUAUAAUAUGUUAAAAGUUAAAAAAACAUAGUUUUAAGUAGAAUUAAAGAUAUUAUAUUAGUAUUGAAAUUUAGUUUAUAUAUGAAUACACUUUAGAUUUGAUAUUUGUUUAACCUAAUUACCAAAUUAUAAUUAUUAUUAUAAAGAAAUUGAAAGUCAUGGGAGUUUCAAAUGAAUGUGAUGAAAGGAAAAAAGAAUGGGGGUUUCAAAUGCAUGAGAUUCAAGAAAAAAUGCUAGCUUUAUAAAUAUGUAUGAUAUGACUAGGCGAAUACCCACGCGUUGCGUAGAAACACCUAUAUAGUUGAAAUCUUUACAAAUAUAUGUUUUCUUAAAUAUAACAAUAACGUUGUUAAAUUUGAUAUAAUAAUCCAUAUGCUAAGUUGAUAUAAUAUAUUGAUUAUUUUGAAUUAGAUGAUAAGAUAUACAUCUAUUAUAACUGCAUAAUCUCAAUUGUUUGAAUGACUUCUAUCCGCGAGUUACACAUUAAUAAAAUUUAAUAUAACAUAUGGUUUAAUGUUAUUUAUAGUUGUUGUCAUUGUUAAUUAUUUUUUUUAAAUUUAUUUGCUUAAUAUUUAAAUUUCUAUCAUUAUAAUCAUUUAAAACAUCAAACAUUGUUUUUUGAUUUUAAAGGUAACUAUAUAAUCAUUAAUAUAGAGUUAUUUUUAACUAUUGUUAUUGUAAAAUAUUUUAAGCUGCUUAAUUGAAAACUUUUAACGGUUAUAAAAAUAUAUUUAAGAAAUAUUUUAGUUAAAUUGAGAUUACAAUUUAGUUUUUGCAUUUAUUAUUACAAUUUAUCACUUUUAACUAUUUACAAAAUAUUCUUUGGUUUUUUAAGUGGAACUAAAAUUUAUAUUGAAGUUGACAUUGUAAUGUCAUAUUUAAAUUAACAAUUUAAGUAUUUUGUCCAAACUGUUCAAAACUGAUAAUGGUUUACAUACAACAACAUAUUAAAUCUAAUAAAUUAAGUAUAAUAUGUUAAAAGUUAAAGAUAUAACUUCAUAAGUAGAAGUAAAAAUAUUAUUUUAAAAUUAAAAUUAGUAUAUUUAUGAUUACACUUUAGGUUUGAUAUUUAUUUAACCUUAUCAACCAACUUAUAAUCAUUAUUAUAAAGACACUACAUUUAAUCACUUUUAACUAUUUACAGAAUAUUCUUUGGGUUGUUUAAGUUAAGCUAAAAGUUAUAUUUAAGUUGUACAUGUAAUGUUAUAUUCAAAUUAAUAAUUUAAAUAUUUUAUACAAAUUGUUCCAAAAUUUUAUCUUUAAAAUGAUAAUGGUUUACAUCUAACUAUAUAUUAAAACUAAUAAAUUAAGUAUAAUACGUUAAAAGUUUAAAAAAACACAUAACUUUAUAAGUAGAAGUAAAAAUAUUAUUUUAAUACUGACAUUUAGUUUAUAUAUGAUUACACUUUAGAUUUGAUAGUUAUUUAACCUUAUUAACCAACUUAUAAUUAUUAUUAGAAAAAAAAAAUUGAAAAGUCAUGGGAGUUUCAAAUAAAUAUGGUGAAAAGAAAAAUACAUGUGAGUUUUAGAUGAAUCUUUUGAAAGGAAAAAUGUUUCCUUUAUAAUAUAUUAUGAUUAUGAUGAUUAUGAUAUGAUAUGGAUAAGUAUAAAGGAUGUGGUUAUUAAUAUAUGAAUAUGACGAUGGUGGGUGGUGGGUGGUGGCGGAGGUGGCUGUGGUUUGUGGUGGUUGGUUGUGGAGGUGGUGGUUGUGACGGAGGGGAGGUGGUAGAUUCAUAUAUACAUACACUUAUAUUUAUAUUCAUAUAUGAAUAUUACUCAUCUUUCGCGCAGCCCGGUACGCCAGAGCGUUUUGUGGUAAAAAUAAAUGAUUGGCUGAUAAUGUUUCCCUCAUUCUCAACCUUUUUUAUUUCUCAAAUGAACUUGCAUCUCUCUCUCUCUCUCUCUCUCUCUAUAUAUAUAUAUAUAUAUAUAUAACACACACACACUAGUAAAAAAGCUCAGGCUUCACCAUGGGUUAGGUUUAUUUUGUUUUAUCUUUUUUCUAUUUUGUUAUAAUAGAUUUGAUGUAGAUUAGCUGAUUUAAAUCGUCUACAAUUCAAAUACUUUUUUUUUGUUUUGUGCGUUUUUUUUGUAGUAACUAUGUCCGCCCCUCCUCUUGCGAGGGAUUAAAAGUGGGCGAAAUUUUUAGAAAAAAAAUCGUUUUGGAUUGACUAUUUUAAAAUAAAGCAAAGCAUAGGAUAUCAACUAAAUAGACUGAUGUAUUAACAAUAUGAAAUGGUGUGUCUUUUGGUGAGAUUCAUUAUCAUACAUUAUUUGUGGCAUGUGAAAUUAAGAAAACUCAAUCAUCAACAUGAACUAUGUUUGUACGUACCUCAACACUAUUGCAAUUAACAAUUUUGGAACUUUUUUUUUUUCAACCAACACUCCUUCAAAUAUAGAGAACCACAAUUUCAUAACUUACUAUGAAUAUGACACCCAGUUGUGUUGUGGUUGAUUUAAAGCUCAAACUUUAGAGGACCAACUUUAGAAACAAAUGGUGCACUUACACGAACUUCUUUCUCACCAGCACUCUCAAACCUGAUUCUAUAUGCAUGAUUCUUGGACCUCAUAUCAUCUAUUAUCUGUCUUAAUCCUAAAGCCAUGAAUGAACAUUAUAGUCAAUAAACAAAAUAAAUGUAGUGAUAAAGAAAAGGUUGUGGACAAAAAGUAAAGUUAAUUACCAAAAGUAAGCGGCUUUGAACCAUUUUCUUGACAAACAUUAGCCAUUCAUUCCUUUGGGUGUGAUGAAGAUCAUUCAGAGGAUUCAAAGGUGAAAAGUGAUGCAGUUGGAGGAGGUGGAGGAGCAGACUUUUGGUUGGCCAAAAGCAAUUACGGUUGCCCAUGUAACUUUCCAUAGGGGUCCCAAAGGAUAAUAACUCUUCACAUAAUCCCUUAAUCCAUGUAUACAAAUUUCUUUCAGGGCUCUAGUCUACUCCGCACGAUUCACAUUCUUAUUUCUAUAUUCUACAAAAACCUACAACAACAAAUAACAUCAAUAUUGGUGACCUAAAAAAUUCUUAUUAAAAAGAAUCAAACAAUUAUACUUGAAGAAAAUAUAAUUUCCAAAUAGAAGGUUUACGGGUGGAUAAAUAACAUUAAAUAUAAAUAAAUUGAAAUGAAUAAAAUUACAAAAAGAUAAACUAUAAAGUACCUGAUUGUUGUAGAAUUCAGUUGCCUACCAAGAUUGUUCCACAUGUGCAAUAAGCGUGCUCAUUCCUAGGGAAAUGACAUUAAAAAUGAAUGAGAUCAUGAAAGAUGCAAAAUAGACUUUGCUAAAACAUAAUUAGAAGAUGGACAAAUUAAAGAUUCAUCUUUUACAGAAAAUGAAGAAAGUUUACCUCUGUGUACUUAUUAGUUGUAUUAGGGAUUCCCUUCCUAUUUCACAAACAAAUUUUGUCUGAAUUCCAAUGAAUUGAAAUAACAGAAUUUGUAACGCAAACUUAAAUCAAAAGCCCUUGAAGUUUCAAUCCAUGAAUAGUAAGAUUGAAGAAGUUAAGUUGAAAAAUUUUACCUGGUGCUCGACCUUGUCAAUGUUGGUAGAGAAGGGGGGAUGUGGCGAACUUGAAGGCGGUAAAGGAAAUGGGAUUUUUGACUCCCUGAACCCAUCAAAGAAUCAGAACCUAUCAAGCUUAUCCCUUACAGAGUCCUCCUGAACAAGUUCGACAAAAACAAACCUAUAUACAUGAUUUAGGAACUCUUAUUAAAGGAAAAUCAGAGAAACUGAAUCAAUUUACCUACGAUUUUAGAAGUCCGUGUUAUGCCUUUGGGGAAUCAUCAAUGAUCGAUAAAAGCAGAUGCUGAAUCGCCUCUUGAGAAUCGAAGAUAAAAAGUAUGGGAUGAAACCUGUAUUCGGGGAAGAAGGUAGGGGUGUUCGAUGUCUGUAGAAGGCGUCGACGAUGGUGGUUGUCUUCAAAAGCUAAGGCAAUACCAAUUGCUCUAAUAAGCCGUCAAUAGGCAAUACCAGGAAAAAAGAAAACGAUAGUAAUACCAAAAAUGGACCGUAUUUUUCAGAAUAAAAGAAAAUUUAAGGCAAAACUGUCAAACAACCAUAGAUUCCUAUUCAUAAGGUCUAAACNUCUCUCUCUCUCUCUCUCUCUCUCUCUCUAUAUAUAUAUAUAUAUAUAUAUAUAUAUAUAUAUAUAUAUAACUACAAAUAUUUUAUUUUCCUUACAUAUUUACAAUUCAUUUGGUUUUAUCGACCAAAAAUAUUAAAAUCAAAUUACAUUAUAAUUUUUCAGCAAUACAAAUGGAAAAUAAGUUUUUUUGGAAAUAAUAAUUUUACUUCUGGUCGUAACAAUUUUUCAUAUUUGUAUUUAUUUUCUCUUAAUAAAUUUUUAUCUAACAGUUUUUAACCUUUAUAAUUUUUAAGUUAAAUUAUUGAUAUUUUAUAAGUUGCAAUUUUAGUCUCUUAUUAUAUUUUAAGUUACGUUUUUGUGUUUCUUACAUAACUUCUUGUUGUUUUUGUUUUUAUUAACUUCCCAUACCAUAAACUUCAAGUCUUAUUUUGGUGUUUUUUAUAUAACUUCUUGUUGUUUUUGUUUUUAUUAACUUCCCAUAAUAUAAACUUAAAGUCUUAUUUUUGUUCGUCUCAUCCAUACAUAAUUGUUUGGAUCAAAACUUAAUUUUGAUAUUUUUAUAAACUACUUGAUAUGAAAUAAUUAUUAUCGUUUUAUUCGUGUACUUUGUGUACUGUUGACAUUUGUAAAACAUAUUCUAUAUACAAAUUGCAAAUUACUAACCUCACAUAUUAAAGUUGCGUUUUUUGCAAUUGCACAACUUUUUUAUAGUAUUCAUUAUUAUUAAUUAUAAAAAUAUUCUCGGCCGUGGCACGAGGUAACCUAAAUACUAGUUUUAGAUUAUAUAUAAGUUAAAUACUUUUAUAAAUAGACAAAACUGCACAAAUGGUCCCUGUGGUUAGCUGAAAAUUGUCACUUUGGUCCAAAAAGGUUUGGACUAGCACCAGAGGUCCAAACUUUUCAUUUUGUUGCGAGUUUGGUCUAACUUUCUAUAAACUUUUUCAUAAUGACUAUUUUGCCCUUAUUUUUUUUUUCUUUUUUCGUUUUUUUAUUAUUUAAAUACUUUCUUGAUUAAAAGAAAAAAUAAAAAAGAAAAAUUGCAUUUUGUAUUUUAUUUUUAUAAUUUUUUAUAAGAAAAUAAAAAAAUGAAAUCUCUCUCUCUCUCUCUCUCUCUCUCUCUCUCUCUCUCUCUCUCUCUCUCUCUCUCUCUCUCUCUCUCUCUCUCUCUCUCUCUCUCUCUUUGAAACAAUCAACAUUCAAGACAAGAAUUUCUCCUUCUUUCUUCUUCAUCCCCUGGAAACACACACACAAACACAUACAAAAAAAUUCUUCAUUUUCAGGGACGAAAUCGGAGAUGUGAGCCGAUUUUGGAGAUAAGCAUUUCUACGGCGACUCUAGGGCUUGCUUUAACAAGCGACUCUAGCUCCAUCGUGUGCGACUCGAAGGCAACACAUCUGUGGAGGAGCUCGUCGUCUGAUGAGGAUAUCGGAGAUGUGAACCCGAGAACCCCUUAACUCGAUCUGAAAGCUCUUCAUCAGAUCUGAUUCCGUGUGUUUGUGUUCAUCAUAUUUGAUUUCAUGUGUGUGUGUGUGUUCAUUAGAUUUGAUUUUGUGUGUUUGUGUGUGUGGGUGUGUUCAUCCGAUUUGCUUUCGUGUGUAUGUGUGUGUGUGUUCAUCAGAUUUGAUUUCGUGUGUGUGUGUUUGUCAGAUCUGAUUUCGUGCGUGUCUAUGUUAAUCAAAUAUGGGGUUCAUGAAUGUGUUCUUAAAUGUAAGUGUGUGUGUUCUUGAACUCUUGAUGAAGCUUUAGAUUUGGCAAUAAUUUUUUGAGGGAGAGCUCAAGAACAAACCCAGAUGUUGUGUGUGUGUGUGUGUGUGUGUGUUUCAAGAAUGAUUUUUAGGUGGAGAUAAAGGUGGUGGUAGUGGCGGACCGUGUUGAUGGUGGACGGUGGUGAUGGCGGACGGUGGUCGAAUGGUGGUGAUGGCUAUGUUCUUGAGUGCUCUUGAAUUUAUGAUGAUGUUUUUGGGUGUUUAUCAAAACAAACCCAGAGAGAGAGAGAGAGAGAGAGAGAGAGAGAGAGAGAGAGAGAGAGAGAGAGAGAGAGGAGAGAGAGAGAGAGAGAAAGAGAGAGAGAGAGAGAGAAGGAGGGAUAGAGAGAGAGAGAGAUGUUGUAUAUGAGAGAGAUUUCAUUUUUAUUUUUUUUUAUUUUGUUAUAAAAAAAUAUAUAAAUAAAAUUGAAAAUGUAAAUUUUCUUUUUUAUUUUCUUAUAAAAAGUUAUAAAAAUAAAAUACAAAAUGCAAUUUUUCUUUUUUCUUUUUUCUUUUAAUCAAGAAAUUAUUUAAAUAAUAAAAAAACUAAAAAAGAAAAAAAUAAUAAGGGCAAAAUAGUCAUUAUGAAAAAGUUUAUAGAAAGUUGGACAAAACUCGCAACAAAAUGAAAAGUUUGGACCUCUGGUGCUAGUUCAAACCUUUUUGGACCAAAGUGGCAAUUUUCAGCUAACCACAAGGACCAUUUGUGGAGUUUUGUCUUAUAAAUAUAAUCAUAUUAACUUUGCCCAAAGCAAUUGGGGUCUAUGGUACAUGGUUUUGUUUUGUUUUUUUUUGUUUUUUUGUUUUUUUUUUUUUUUUUUUUUUUUUUUUUUUUUUUUUUUUAACUCCACACAUAACCCAUUUGUGUUACACUUAGUUUCCGUUAUACUUCAAAGAAAUAUAUUUCUUAAACCGAGUUUAUGGCUUUUAUAUUCCUUCAAACGCAAUUAUAUUUUUCGCGAGCUACAUUAAUUCCACGAAAAUAUUCUCAUGAUUGCGGAAACUAAUAAAAAUCUUAAGGUAUCAUUUUACUAUUUUAGAAAAGCAUCAUAAAUUCGCAAGUCCUUUUUAUAAUUGACAUUUUCAUUUUAUGAUAAGUUUUAACAAAUAAAUUGUUCAGUGAUAUAUCUAAAGUCUAAUUGGUAUUUUAAAGAAUAACCCAUCUUUGUUUUAUGUGGGUGUGAUUACUGAUUACUCCCAAACAUAGUACACUGGACUAUGGCCAUUCAAAUUUCAAACGUCAUCCUGAAUGGAUACCUAACCAUGGGCCUAACUUGUGUUUUCGUUUACUUUGUUUAUGUCGAAAAUGAGCCUGAUUUGCGUCUUAAUAUUCCAAAACCCAAACUCUCCAAAUUGGUUCUAAUAAACUUCUACUAUUACUUUUGAAAAUUUUUAAUCACAAAUGCGCCUUUUAUUUUUGAAACAAAUAAUUUAAAGUUUUUAAAAGAUAACUUUUGGUUUUUUAAUAUAUAACUAUACAACUAUUUUUAUAGAAUUAAAAUACAAUUGUUGUUCCUUGAGUUUUGGUCUUUAAAUUGUUGUUUUUUCAGUUUUGAUCACUAUUUGACAUUUUAGAAAUGUCUUCAUCAUUUUUCAAGUAUAAUAACUAUAUUUGUCACUUAUCUUGUUUUUUAUAUAAUUUUUUGAUAUCUAUUUUACGGUUAUGUUAUUAUUAUUAUUAUUAUUAUAUUAAUUUGGAGCCUACAAUACUCAUCUCAUGUUGAUAUUAGUUGUUUGGUAGCCUCUUAAUUGAAAAAUUAAGACGCAACCUUUUAAUUAAGUGUUUGGUAGGAUAUGAAAAAAAGACUCUUAAUUCUUUAAAUGCCUCUUUAAAUUUUAGAUGUAAACCUCCAUCUGAAUAAUAAUAAAAAAAAAGACGCUUCUACCCUAAUUAAAACAAAAUGCACUUUUUUUUUCCUUUUUACUCCAUCCAUCGAUUUCCCUUCUCCUCUCUCCCACCCUUAUUCUACCUCUUGAUCUGUAGUCAUCUACUACCUCCGCCAUUGACGAUGCCAUUGUAAGCUUCUCCAACCUUCGGUUGCAGGUAAGUUUUUUUCCUUCCGGAAAAUAAAUUUUCAUAAAUAGAUUAUUAAUGUAAUACGUUCCGACAACUUCUGAAGAUCGAAAUCGAUCACAGGUGAACAAUUAGUUCUGAUGGUGGUUGUCUUCAAAAGCUAUGAACAGUGCAUGUAACUAUAUGAUCAUUGAUGGUGCUAUUAACAGUGCAUGUAACUGUAUUGAUUCCUCUGGUGAAUAUAUUUCAUAUAUUUUCAUUGUUAUUGAUGAUUCUAAUCAAGAAUCCACAUCAUGGAUUAUAGAUUCAAGAGUAACAUAUCAUAUGUGUUCUUCUAAAUCUAUGUUUCCUUCUCUAAUGACUUUCACAAUACCUCAUUUGAUUGGUUUACCAAAUGUCAAUCGAUUCAUGUUUCACAUAGUGGAAGUGUUCUUAUUCAUGACACCAUUAUGUUGGCUCUGUUCCAUAUGUUCCAGAGUUCAAGCACAAUCUCAUUUCAGUUGCCAAAAUUACUUCUCAACUUAAAGUUUGGGUAAUUUUCACUGAUGAGUUUUGUGUUAUGCAUGCUCCUUCAUCCAAGAGUAACUUCCUCAUUGGAAAAAGAUAGAAUUUUUUUUACAAAAGGGAUUAAAAGAUUUUGAAGAAUCCUUGUUUACAUGAUCAUUUUUUAAACAAUUUUCAGUCAUGUAACAAGAGUAAUAUUCCUAAUCUGUGGCAUAAUAGAUUAGGACAUCUCUUAAUAAAAAAGAUGAUGACUCUUUCUUUAGUUCCAAAAGAUUGUAUUGGUAUUGAUUUUGAUUCAUGUAUUAUCUGUCAUCGAUCUAGACAACACAAACUAUCAUUCAACGAUAAUAAUACCAUUACAAAUAAACCAUUCGAAUUGGUUCAUGUUGAUGUUUGAGGCCAUAUAAAGUUCAUAAUCAUAAUGGUUUUCGAUAUUUUUUUUUAAUUCUUGUGGAUGAUUAUUCUAGAUGUUCUUGGGAACAUUUCCUUAAACAUAAGAGUGAUGCUUUCAUUCUUAUUCAAGCAUUUGUGAUAUUUGUUCAAAACCAUUUCAAUACAACAAUCAAGACCAUAAGGACAAAUAAUGCUUUUUAUUUGUGAUCAAGAAAUGAAGGAAUUCAUUUUUUCCAAUCUAAUGGAAUGUCUUAUCAGAAAUAUUGUCCUCGUACACCCCAACAAAAUGGGGUGGUUGAAAGGGAACAUAAGCAUCUUCUUGACUUCUCCAGAACCCUUAUUUGUUUAAUAUGGAUUAGGAAAAGCUUAUUAGGGAAUGUGUUCUUACCGCAGCCUAAUCAUUAAUCAAAUUCCUUUAAGAGUUUUAGAUGAAAAAACUCCUCAUGAAAUGUUAUUCAAGCAACAACCAAAUUUGUCAACAUUAAAAUCUUUUGGUUCUCUUUGUUAUGUUACCACCAUUUCAACAAACAAAGACAAGUUUAUGUCAAAGGAUGAACCUUGCAUUUUUGUUGGUUAUCAUUUUGGGACAAAGGGUACAAAGUCUUGAAUAUUAAAACAAAUGAUAUUUUUGUUUUAGGAAAUGUCAAAUUUGUUGAGGAUAUUUUUCCUUUGCAUAAUGGUCAUUUAAUGAAUACUUAUGGGUCUUCUAUUAUGCAUGUUUGUGAUGAUUCAGAUCCACACACACAAAUUCCCCAUCAAGAAUUCAUUCCCAAACAAUGUUUUACCAAAUGACCAUAACACCCCUCAACAAGAUCAACAUCCAAGAGUUCCUUCUUCUCCUCACUUCAGAAGAUCAACUAGACAAACCAAUCCUCUUACAAAAUUAAUUGUUUAUAUUUUGUACAAUGUAACAGAACAUGAUCAUCAUUUCAAUGAUUGUCUACAUACCAUUACCAAUUUUUUCAUUAACAAUGAUGAAUUCUGCCAUCAUGCUGUUAAUCAAACACAAUUGCUAGCCUUCACUGUCAAUUCCAAAAUCUUUGAACCUCUUUAUUAUCAUCAAUCAAAAGGCAAACAUCUUUGGGAAGAAGCUAUGCAAAAGGAAUAUGUUGCUCUUGUUGCUAAUAACACUUAGGAAGUUGUUCCUUUUCUUAAAGGAAAACAUCCAAUCUCUUGUAAACGGGUAUACAGAGUCAAAUACAAGGUCGAUGGUUCAAUAAAAAGAUACAACCCCAAACUUAUGGAAAAAGGGUUCGCUAAAAAAUAAGGUAUUGACUACCAUGAAACCUUUUCUCCUGUUGUGAAGUUCAAUAUUGUUCGAUGUUUGGUCAAUCUGGUUGUUAAAAGAUAUUGCAAGAUUCAUCAAUUUGAUGUCAAUAAUGCUUUUCUCCAUGGAGAUUUGCACAAAGAAGUUUAUAUGAAAUUGCCUCGUGGUAUGGAUUCUACAUCUUCUUAUUUGGUACGUAAACUCAAAAAGUCACUAUAUGGUCUUAAGCAAGCAUCAAGACAAUGGUAUGACAAACUUUCUUCAACAUUAACAGAUAAAGGGUUCAUUAGAUCAAAGAAUGAUCACUCUUUAUUUACCAAGAAAGUUGACAAUACCAUUGUUAUUGUUGCGGUUUAUGUAAAUGAUGUCUUGGUGACAGGAGAUAAUGUUGAAGAAAUUAAUUCUCUCAAACAAAUUCUUGAUGACAAAUUCAAAAUCAAAGAUUCAUGUGUUAUAAAUUUCUUCUUGGGAUUUCAAUUCAUACAUGUUAAAGAUGGGACAAUUAUUCAUACACCAACACAAGUUCAUCAAAGAUCUCAUAUAAGCUUAUUCAAUCAUGUAUUCUAAAUCUGUAGCUUCUCCUCUUCCAAGCAAACCGAGACAAUUAUUCAUCAGUGACACACCUUUAUCCUUCCAACAGAAUACAUGCAGUUAGUAGGCAAGUUUAAUUUUCUACUAAAUAACGUCCUAAUACUGCUUUCACAACUCAAUUUUUUAGUCAAUAUAGCAUUAAUCCAUCUCAAUAUCAUAUGAGUGUUGCUUUGCAUGUUCUAAAACACUUGAAAGGAACAAUUUUUCAAGGGAUUUUUCUCAACUAUAAACCAGAUUUCAAGCUUGAAGCUUUCUGUGAUUCGAAUUAGGCUGCUUGCCCAUCAACACGACGAUCAGUGAGUGGUUAUUUCAUCAUAAUGGGAAGAAGACCUGUUUAUUAGAUAUCUAAAAAGCAAGAAAUUGUUUCUUUAUCUUCUACUGAAGCAUAAUAUAGAUCUAUGAGGAGAGUUUGUGUAGAAUUAGCAUGGCUAAGUAGACUAUUAAAACAAUUUCAAAUACAUUGUAACAUCCCAAAAAUAAAGAUAAAAUUUUCAUUUUUGAAAUCCAACCCAAAACCACAAUUGUUUACAAAACAUUAUUCUCAAAAGCAAUAAUCACAAAUCAUAGUAUUUCCAAAAUCCAAUAAUAUAAAACCAUGAGGAUGAGCACGAUCACGCCUUUUCUUUCCCACAAUCAUUUGAAGUACAUAAAACAUAAAACUUAAACUAUAAGCCAACGCUUAGUGAGCUCCCUCAAAGUACCACACACAACUAAUAUGAAUAACAACAUGCAUAUAUGAGCCUUCAACCUGAUUAGACUGCCUCACAGGGCCUACAACUUAUCUAGACUGCUUUUUGGGCCUUCGGCCUGACUGGACUGCCUUGCAGGGCCUACAACCUAUCCGGACUCCCCUGGGUGUCUUGGUCUUCAACACAAAGCAGGACAGGCUCAACCUAACCAAAAUAUGUCGACAUAUACAAUAGAUAAGCAUAAACAGAUAUCCAACAAGUAUAGGUAAUCAUACAUAUCUACCGAUCUAUCAUAUAACCAUCACAACAUCAUCUUAUAUAUCAGGAUACAUACCCUAGUGGGCCGACAUUAGUGUCUUCGACCCACAAGUAUAAUGAGGAAAACUCACCUCACAGUCCGAAAAGAUAGUUGAAUAGGUCACGACUCCUACUACCGACUCAACAGGUCACCUAUAUAUCAAACAGUGACCAAAUCUCAACUAAAACUCAAAAUACCCAAAAUACCCCUAGUUCAAACUUGUCGAGUGCGUUAUCGAGUGCGAGCAUGCUCGAUUGAGUCUCUGAUGUUUUUAUGUCAUAUUUCAGGGACAUCAUGGUUGGGACACGACACACACAUGAGAGCAGCGGUGUCAGUGACGCGGAGAUCCGUCGGUUGAUUCAUGAGGAGGUGGCUGUGGCCAUUCGGGCGGAGAUACCAGAGAUGUUUGGGUCUAUCAAGACCACGUUGAUUGAGACUUUUGAUGAGCGGUAUGCUGCUCUUACCGAGGCUGCGGUUGCUGCGGCCACCGCGGCUGUCGCGGCUGCCAGGCCGCAGGGGGGUGAUUCGUUGCUGUAUCGGGAGUUCAGCAACACGAAGCCACCAGAGUUCGAUGGGACACAGGAUCCGAUUGCUGCUAUGAGAUGGAUUGCAGAUGUGGAGGGAUGUUUUUACACUUGUUUAUGUCCAGAGAACUUGAGAGUGCGGUUCGCGCUGAACCAGCUUCGCAUGGAAGCGAAGGACUGGUGGAAGUUUGUGUCAACAGAUUUCACCCCAGCUGAGCUUGCUGCGGUGACCUGGGAGAGGUUCACCACCAUGUUCCGUCAUGAGUACAUUCCUCCUGUGGAAAAGGAAUGACUAGCUCAGGAGUUUUUGACCCUCAAGCGGGGUACUUAUUCAGUUACUGUGAUCACACGGAAGUUCCAUGAGAGGGCGAUGUUUUGCCCUGAGCAGGUGUCUAUGGAGCAGGCUCGCAUAAGCCGGUAUUUGAGUGUGUUGAGGAGGGAUAUUCGGGAGUUCGUGACGAACUCGACAUACCAGACAUUUGCAAAACUCCAGGCAAAUGCCCGGAAGAGGGAGAUAGAGCUGGAGACUCAGGCCAGGGAGGAGGCCGAGUCUCAGAGGAUGGAUCGGCGGCCGGCACAGUCUCAACCGGCAACCAAGCGGGCUAGACCNAGCCGGCAGCCAAGCGGGCAAAGCCCUCUGAUUCGAGAUCUGGGGGUCUGAAGGGCCGCACUUGUGGAAAGUGCGGCAAGAGCCACGAGGGAGCAUAUAGAGCUAGGGUAUGUUACAAGUGUAGGAAGGAGGGGCAUUACGCGAGGGACUAUCCCAAGGGAUUUUUGGUUUACUUUCAUUGCAACCAGACCGGCCAUCGGAAGGCUGAGUGCCCAUAGUUACUGCAGGGAUCAGCGCGGGGUCUGCAUCUGCUGCUCGAGCUACUGAGACCCGGCCAGUGAAGGCCGAGGCACCGAGGGCUCGUGAGAGAGCGUUCUAGUUGACAGCGGAGGAGGUCCGCGCAGCGCCCGAUGUCGUGGCUGGCAUGUAUUCCUUCAUUGUUUAUGCUGAAUAUUAAGAUAUUGUGCUUAUUUUAUGUUAUGCAUAGGUACUUUUCUUGUGAAUUCUAUACCUGCUUUAGUGUUGUUUGACUCGGGUGCGAGUCGGUCUUUUGUGUCAUUAGCGUUUAGUUAGCACAUCAGUAUCCAGCGAGAGGCGUUGAGUUGACCUCUAUGAGUUUCCAUAGCUGACGAGCGAGCGGUAUAUGCUACAGACAUGGUUUGAGGGUGUGUACUCGAGAUCUUCGGUGUUGAGUUUCCGAUUGAUCUGGUCCCGAUUGCGAUGGGAGACGUUUGCGUUAUAGUGGGGAUGGAUUGGUUGAGCCGAUUUGGGGCAGUUACAGACUGUGAGCGUCAGUUGGUGACGAAUCGAGACCCCAGUGGGGGAGUGCUUACGGUGUACGACGAGGGUACCCGUUGUGGGUCAGCGUUCUGUUCGGCUGCCAGAGCAAGACAGAGUCUACAACAAGGCUGCAGUGGGUUCGUAGCUUAUUUCAUGGACACACGAGAAGCCGUUGGGAGGCUAAGUUCGGGGGACGACGUUCCAAUAGUGCGUGAGUUCCCGAAUGUUUUUCCCGAGGAGUUGUCGGGUGUGCCUCCUGAGAGGCAGGUAGAGUUUCGUAUUGAUUUGGUUUCGAGAGCGGCACCUAUCGCCAAGGCGCCCUAUCGCCUUGCGCCGCCAAAGAUGCAGGAGUUAUCCUUGCAGCUGCAAGAGCUGCUGGGAAAGGGGUUUAUUCGACCGAGUAGCUCGCCUUGGGGAGCGCCGAUCCUUUUUGUCAAGAAAAAGGAUGGUUCACACCGGAUGUGUAUUGAUUACCGGGAGUUGAAAAAGUUAACGGUCAAGAACCAUUACCCGUUGCCAAGGAUCAACGAUUUGUUCGAUCAGUUGCAAGGAUCAUCUUGGUUCUCCAAGAUUGACUUGAGGUAUGGAUAUCAUCAGAUGAGGGUGUGAGAUGAGGAUAUCUAGUAGACAGCAUUCAGGACUCGUUACAGGCAUUACGAGUUCGUGGUGAUGCCUUUCGGGCUCACCAAUGCACCGACGGCGUUCAUGGAUCUUAUGAACAGAGUGUGCAGGCCGAUGUUGGACCGCUUGGUGAUCGUGUUCAUCGAUGAUAUCUUGGUGUAUUCGAGAACCAGAGAGUAGCAUGAGGAGCAUUUAAGGGAGAUCCUUGGAGUUUUGAUAUCGGAGAGGCUUUACGCCAAAUUCUCCAAGUGUGAUUUCUGGUUACGAGAGGUCCAGUUCCUGGGGCACCUCGUUAACCAGAAUGGGAUAUUGGUCGAUCCGGCCAAGAUUAAGGCAGUGAUGAGUUGGGAGGUGCCGAGAUACCCCACCGAGAUCAGGAGUUUCAUAGGAUUGACAGGCUAUUACCAGAGAUUUAUCCGGGAUUUCUCCAAGAUUGUCGUGCCACUCACCAAGUUGACCCGGAAGGGUGUUGCUUUUUCUUGGGGCCCAGAGCAGCAGGCCUCCUUCGAGACACCUCGCCAGAGACUAUGCGAAGCCCCGGUGUUAGCCCUUCUGGAGGGAAUGGAGGAAUUUGUAGUAUAUUGUGACGCGUCGAUAUCAGGGUUAGGAGCAUUCCUUAUGCAGAGAGUGCAUGUGAUAGCAUACGCAUCGAGGCAGCUGAAGCCUCAUGAGGUGAGGUAUCCCACCCACGAUCUCGAAUUGGGGGGCAAUGGUGUUCGCCCUCAAGAUCUGGCGUCACUAUCUGUAUGGGGUUCGGUGUACCAUAUACACGGACCACAAGAGCUUGAAGUACCUGAUGGAUCAGCCCAAUCUAAAUAUGCGCCAGAGGAGAUGGUUGGAUGUGGUAAAGGAUUACGACUGCGAGAUUCUGUACCACCCGGGCAAGGCUAACGUUGUAGCCGAUGCCCUGAGUCGUAGGGCGGAGGGCGCNAUAUGAGAUGUUUGUAUGAGGCUAACAGUGAUGACCCCAGUGUUUGACACCAUUCGAGGGGCCCAGGAUGAGGCCGUGAGACCAGAGAACCGUAAGAGGGAGCGGGUUAUUGGGCAGGUAUCGGAGUUCGUCACCGAUAGCUGAGGGCUUAUGACUUUUCAGGGUCGGGUUUGGGUGCCGUUUGUGGGCGGAACGCGUACCAUGUUGAUGGGGGAGGCGCAUAGAUCGAGGUUUUCGAUCCAUCCCGGGGACACUAAGAUGUAUUUGGACCUGAAGAGAGAGUAUUGGUGGCCCUGUAUGAAGAGGGAUGUUGCAUGGUUCGUUGAGAGGUGUUUGACAUGUCGCAGGGUUAAGGCCGAGCACCAGAGACCGCAUGGUAAGUUGCAGCUGUUGGAGGUUCCCGAGUGGAAGUAGGAACAGAUUACCAUGGGUUUUAUCACCAAAUUAUCGAGGACUUCUAGGGGCGUCGAUGCAAUUUGGAUGAUUGUGGAUAGAUUGACGAAGAGCACUCAUUUACUUGCUAUCAAUGAGAGCUCUUCCGCUGAGAGGUUGGCAGAGUUGUACGUGAAAGAGGUGGUAUCACGACAUGGAGUGCCGAUCUCGAUUGUCUCGGAUUAAGACGUGCAUUUCACUUCCAGGUUCUGGAAGAAGUUUCAUGAGGAGUUAGGCACGAGGCUGCAUUUUAGCACUGCAUACCACCCACAGACCGACGGCCAGACCGAGCAGACGAUUCAGACACUUGAGGACAUGCUUCGGGCAUGUGUACUGGACUUCGGAGGGAGUUGGGACACAUUUUUGCCUUUGGCUGAGUUUUCCUACAACAACAUCCAUCAUUCGAGCAUCGAUAUGCCACCCUUUGAGUUGUUGUAUGGGAGGAGGUGUCAGACUCCCAUUUGCUGGGGUGAGGUCGAUCAACGUGUGAUGGGUAAUACCGAGAUAGUACUUCAGACGACUGAGUAGAUUCAGCAGGUCAGGUAGAGAUUACUGACAACUCAGAGUCGUCAGAAGAGCGACACAGACAGGCGUCGCUCGGAGCUCGAGUUCCAGGUCGGUGACUUUGUACUCCUGAAGGUAUAUCCUUGGAAAGGAGUGAUCCGGUUCAGGAAGAGGGGCAAGCUGGGGCCCCAUUAUAUUGGUCAAUUCCAAGUGAUUGUGAGGGUAGGCCGGGUAGCCUACUAUCACACCCUAAAACCGGAAUGGCGGAAACGUUCUGGGGUGGAUGACGUCAUGUCAAGUAUCACAACACAUGCAUUAUAGUAAUCAAAGUACAACAAAACAUUGCAUUAAUAGUAAUAGUUUUACAAAGUUACAUUAAUACAUCAAAGUAUUACAAGUAAUAUAAUAAAUACAGCGUGGUACUAAGCUAUCUUCAUCAACAGCUCCGGGGAUGUACCUGUCUAAUGCUAACCUGAGAAUACAAGUUAUUUGAAAAGCGAGUAUCAGCAUUUUUACAAAUGCUGGUGAGUUCAUAAGCAUUUAGUGACAUUUCAUUCAAAUAACUUAAUAAAGUAAUAGUUUAAGAGAUUUCAGUGUAUUAGAGUCCUUUCCAGAAAAUCCUAUAUUUUCUUUAAUAAAAGCAGCCUUCUACCAAGACUGGUCAGUGAUGUGGGGUAAAAAGUAGUCUUCCCUAAAUUGCUAUCAUUAUCAAAAUACUGAAUUUGAUUAUUGAGGAAAGCAAACGACAUCAGGGAAUAUCAUAUGCCUCAGCAGCGAGGACGGCUGACUAAGGCAAGGAACCAUAGACUCCAGGAAAGUAUCAAACAAACGACAAGCCUGGUUCAGUCUAACAAGUGGAGACACAGACCCCAGAAGGUACCAAAUAAAAGGUACAACUAGUAGGGUCUAAAACAGUGAAUACUAACCGCAGACAAUAUCAAAUGAAAGAUACGUCUAGCAAGGUCUAGAACAGUGAACACAGUGAAUACCGUGAAUACAGUGGAUACAGACCCCAGACAGAAUCAAAUGAAAGAUACGUCUUGUAAGGUCAAAACAGAGAUAACAGAACCCAGACAGUAUCAAAUGAAAGAUACGUCUUGUAAGGUCAAAACAGAGAUAAUAGACCCCAGACAGUAUCAAAUGAAAGAUACGUCUUGUAAGGUCAAAACAGAGAUAACAGACCCCAGACAGUAUCAAAUGAAAGAUACAUCUUGUAAGGUCAAAACAGUGUGACUCUGAAAAUGAAUUACCAGCAUACAGUGUAGAUUGCCGGUGAAAUACCGUUACCUUAAAGCCAUGAAUUAUAAGGUAACCCGGGAUACUCGUAACCAUACUGACUAGAGUUCCAGACACCCUACAAGCAUCUAUAAUGUGACAUUUGUCACCCGUUGGCUUGGUAGGCCGGGACUGUAGCUAGCAGUCUGGGUGCGGGGUUGUCAAUCCCGUAUAGAUCUAUACACACAAUGUCCACUCUCCCUACAGGAGACUCUGGUUACCAACUAGAUGACGGAGAAGGCCGUGUCCUGAAGAUGCAUCCCAAAUAGUGGGUAGAGACUUCCAAACAGUGGGUAGUGUGCAAGUGCUGAACUAGAGGUAGAGACUUCCCAAUAGUGGGUUUCUAAUGUAAGUGUAGGCUAGAAGUAGAGACUCUUAACUGAACUGACUAGAGAAUUCCUAUAUGUCCAUACUCAUAUACAUAAUAUAUAACUAAUGAGUCAAACGACCUUCGGACGGCCAUCCGAUCCCACCAGACCACAUCUCAACGAAGAAAAGGAAAUAGGGCAGACGAGCCUUCCUAAGUCUUUCAAUCAUUACUUAUAUGUACCUAUAUAAGCACAGACAUACAUCUAACUACGACCGAGUGUGAAUCAAGUAGAAGUGAUCUUUGUGAAGUAGAAGUGUCUAACAAGUGAAGUAGAAGUGGUCGCAAGUGAAGUAGAAGUGUCGAACAAGUAUAAGCAUAUCAUGAAGUAAAGGCAACAACAAGUGAAGCGACAGCGUAUCAAGUAUAAGUGAAGUAGAGUCGAUAUCAAGUAUAAGUGAAGUAGAGUCGAUAUCAGUAAGUAAAAGUGUGAAUAAGUAUAAGCAUCAACAAGUAUAAGCGGCUACAGGUAUAAGUGAAAGCGUUACAGAGUAGGAGUAUAAAAUAAGUAUAAGCGACGUAGUCGUAUUUAACAAGUAAAGUAUACGUCAAAAAAGGGAAUCUUUGAUGAAAACCUUUAUGUCCAGAGAAAAUCAUAAUUUGUAUUCUUUUGUAAAAUAAGUUUGAAAACCUUAGAAAAUCUUUCAUAAACCAGUUUAGAAUGAAUUUAGAUAAAACAGUAUAAGUAAGAGUUUUGAAACAAUUGAAGAUCAUUAUAGUGUCCUACUCGGUAAAACAGUGUACAGUGUGGUAAAAUCUGGUGCAUGCGGGUUACCAAUCACAUGUGAUUGAUAUGAUAACUAGCAUGUUUAACUUGUAUUCCCCCCUAUAAAACAUUUAAAAACAUUAAAAGGUUCAUUCAGGGGUAUGAACUCACCUGGUGUAAGUAGGUCCGACGAAGGUGUCGUUUGGGCGUUCGGUGUCACACAAGGACUUGAACACACACAAUGACCUAUUUUAACAUAUGGUAACAUUUGUUCACAUACAAUUAGCAUAUUAUAUACUAAUUAAACAACUAUACGCGCUCAAAGGAGCGGAAAACACUUUGGCUAAUUGUUUGGGUGUCCCAGGUAGUGUCUAAAGGUGUGUAUGGCUAAGGAAUGGAGCUUGCUAUCCAAGAAUACACCCUUAUUACUUAGUUUACGGCCCAGGGACUACUCACCCUGAGUUUACGGCCGUAAAAUCAUGGUGAGGGUAUCUAGUGUGCUAAAGUGUCUCAUCUCCAUUGUAGAUUUAUGCUAGGCUCAAAUGUCAAUUGUGUAAAUGGGUUUAAGGCAUGAAAUGGCCCCUUUGAGGAGUUUACGGCCAUAAGCAAGGGAGCUUACGGCCGUAAGCUCCUAUACAUACCUUCUUUUGGUGUUUUUAAAGGCUUAAGUGAUAAAGGGUAAUUUUCUAAGCAUUUUGGUAAUAGUGUAAGGCCAUUUGGGGGACAAAAUUUAUGUUUUGGGCAUGUUUAAGGGUGUUUACGGCCUUGGUACAUGUCUGGGCCGUAAACUCCUUUUGAUCCUUCAUUUUGUUGUGUUUAAUUGGUCCAAACCCCAAAUACUAAGUCCCUAAAUCAUUUAUGAAGCCUGAGGGUGUUUUAGGAGUGUGUUAGGGGCACUUUUGCAUGAUUGUGAGGUGUUUACGGCCUUGGAAAAGGCCUGGGCCAUAAACUCCAUUUUACACCCUCAAUCUUUAUGUUUAAGUGAUCUAAACCCAAGAGGAUAAGCCCCCAAUUUAUGUGUUAAUCCCUAGGGUGAUUUUGGAGUGUAUUUAGGACAUUUAAACAAAGUUUAAAGGUGUUUACGGCCUAAGCAAGUGCUUGGGCCGUAAACUCUCUUUUAUGCCCCAAAAUGAUUGUUUUAAAUGUGCAAACACUCCUAGGCUAAUUCCUCUAUUUAUUUCCAAGCCAUUAGGGACAAGUUUGGGUCAUUUUGGCCUUGUUUAAGGGGUUUACGGCCUAAGAAGGAGCUUAGGCCGUAAACUCCAGUCUAACAGCUUCUAAGUCCGAAUUUUGGGCUAUAAACAUGAAUCAAUAUGUUUAGAAUAAGCGAGGGUAAGCGGACUUACAAUUUGGAAGCGUUUGGUUGCGGUUUCGGGGCGAAAACGGGUCUAGAGAGAGAGAGUGUGUGUGUGUGUGUGUAAAAAGUCUCCAAUAGACUCCACUCACCCUUAUAUAGGGUUUUGAGUUGGGGCUCAGUGGGACUUUACCCGAUACUGCCGUUAAACGGGGCUUUUGGUCGCACCCGAUUUAGUGGUCGUAAUAAUAAAACUUGACAUUUUCCAAAUAAAUGGAAAUGUGUGUCCUGUGUUUUUAUUUCCUUUUAUCACGACUUAACGGCAUGUCAAUUUCAACCAAAUGGAAUGUUUAUUAAAUUGACGCCCUCUAUGUAACGGAACUUUUAUACAGUGGAAUAUUCCGUUAACGGUAACGGGAAAAUGUAACGGAACAACUUGGGUUGUCACAUCAUCCCCCCGUUAGAGGGAAUUUCGUCCCGAAAUUCAGGUCUAGGCAAGGAAGUAGGUAUGAAUGGCCAAGUAAAGGUAAGAGAGUACUUCCUAUACGGUUGUCCUCGCAUUCCCAAGUGAACUCUAGUCUGUGUUUGUCAUUCCGACAGACCUUCACGUAUGGGAUGCGGAUUCCGUCUAGUGUAGCUAGUGGGUUUCCAACUGGUGUAUCUGCGAGGUUAGAGUUCUCAAUGGAUUCUAUCAAGAUGUGUGAGGCACGAAGAGUGUUGUCGAGAAAUCACGUAUCAAGUCUAAGAAGUGGAUCGAUCGAAUGUGAAUCUUGUGGUAUAUCUGAAAGUAGUAGUGGUCUGAAAAGGGUUGGACCAUGUCUCCAUGAGGAUUCUCGGAUGGUCCUAAGCUCUCGGAAAAAGGGGUAGAGCUUUUCAAUACUAAGAACAUAGUGUACUUCUAUGGUAAGAUCAACACUGGCGUGAUCGCCAUUCCGAAGUUCCUAACGUUCUCACUUGUACUGGAUGUGUAGUCCUUCAGGUUAGUCCUUAGGAAGCUCGGGUGGUCUUCAGUUUCGUGUUUUCUGUCAACUGGCUGAUAGAGACUUUCUAGGUUGCCGUGUGGAUUGCGCGACUAUGGUCAUCGGUUUGCUAUAGAGCGUCUAUCCCAAACUCGUGCAAAAUGGUCCUGCACUAACGACGCUUGAGAUACGGAAACCCUGAGGGUCGGGGAGAUAGGGUUUCACUAGACGAGCGUUGGACUAUCUCGGGAGGUGGUUCUACUAUCUUUGCGUGAGAUAGUAGUCGUGGAACACCUAAUAGUCCAAGGAAUCUCUAAGACUGUGGUUCAUUCUAGCGUGGAAAGUUUAUGUUCCUGCAUAACCCUUCAACUAACACCAGGGCUGGUGUCAAGCCUAUGAUCUCUUCGGGAUCCGGGUCAUGAGAUUUAACGCAACUACUUUCACACUUGACCAAUUCUUCUUGAUUGCAAAGGUUAUCCUGUGGUUCUCGGUAUCCUAGUUUUCACUUCGGAGAAUGUAUUUCAUCAUCUACAGGGCGGCGACGGUUUCCUCCAUGCAAGAGGGUGGAGGAUGAUAGGCACUACCUGUCUAUAACAGGGUGGGCAAGGUGCCUGAGUAGUUAAAGCAUCUACUGCAACUACUCUUCCGAAGAUUCUGAGUUUUUCUUAGUCUAGGUCAAAUCUAGUGGGUAUAUGGUUUCAUCACUCGGAACUUUACUAGUUUAACCCGUAGUGAUUCUCUUGACUCCGGCUCCUAUGUUAUGGAAUAGGGUGAAAGUGUUUUGCUAAGAGGUCCGUGGUAGAACUCAUGCUUGGCUUAACUGCCAAUACUUGAUGUAUGCCAUCAAUAUACCUGAUGAUAGUGGUCAGCCUCAUGAGUUCUAUUCUCUGGGUUUACGAACCUGAUGUGCGAGGUGCGAAGGGUCUUUCAGGGGAUUCUUCUGAGUAUGCUCUCGAUGGUUGUUGUCUUCUGAAGUAUCUACAGUGUCGUUCACUUUGGAGAUUCCCAGUCAUCCAUCAUGAAGUGAUGACACCCAGAGAUGGAAUCAGAAGAAAGGCGGAGUAGAAAUUCAAUAUGUCCAUACGAGAAGAGAACCCUAGGAAACUACCCGAAGGAAACCAACGCCAAUUCCAGUCAAAGAUACGAGCCAGACAGCGGGAACCGGUACAUGGGACCCGAGAAGUGUCUUUUUCCUCGUGUUCGUCACGAUAAUACACCCUUAAAAUAAUACAAUUUAGUGAGUUAGUGGUUACACUACUCACGCUAUGUGUUAGGUAAAUCGUUGAUUCCCGUUGCCAGUUACACGAUUAGGGCGGGUCCCCGCACCUUAUUGAGAGUGCUUAGCCAUGAGCUUUCAUGAGCCUCUCUUUCCGCAGUUUCGUUCCGAACCGUUCUCAAAUCUCUCCAGGCCGGAGAGUGAAACCUUUCCCAGUAUAAAAGGUAACUUAGUAGGAACGACUCGCAUCUUAUGGCCUUUUCCGAUACUCAUAUUCCUACCUUGAUUACCAAGACUACAUCAUAGGGAUGUAGGUCGACGUUCAAACAACCAGUAACCGAGGCAUGGGAAAAUUUAUGCCUAAUGCGAUCGGGACAGAAAUGUCCAGGGUUAACCAUCGUCUCUCAUUACCUUGUAUUCCUUUUCGUGUAGGAAAACCAUGCCACCGAAGAAGCGUAACCAAUCCACAAGCAAGAAACCUACUCUCUUAUACGAUGAAGCUACGUUCCAAGCUGCAGUCUCAGCAGCCGUAGCAGCUAUCAUCGCUCACCUGAAUGCUAACACCGCCAAUGUUAGCAAGGGCCCGGUUGGGAUUUCCAAUCCUGGCAAUGGACAGCAGCAACCAACACUUCCAUACUCAGCCACCCAAGAACCUCACUCAAACCCACUAAAGAGAAAACUCAAGAUAGAUGUGGGAAGUACCUCGACUCAAGGACCUUCCGAUGGACAACGAGCUGAGGCAGUCUAUACCCCUGUCAAUCCUUCCCUCCCGACUUCAAGAAGACUGUAUCUAGGAGACCUUCCCC